CACCCUUUCCUCGAAAAUAUAUACAUCAGAGAUAACACCUAUGAUUCUCUUUCAUUAUCCUUCUCCUUAAGCAUCUUCCCAAGAUUGCGUUGUUUUGAAAUCAGUAAGCUUCAGGGGGUUGAAUUCCUCUAUAUCUCCAUUUCAGAGGGGGAUCUCACAUCUCUUAAUUCUUUGAAUAUCUCACGGUGCCCUGAUGUUGUAUAUAUUGAAUUGUCGACUCUCGACCUAGCAAGUUAUGAGAUCUCCGGAUGCUUGAAGCUCAAGUUAUUGAAGCACACCCUCUCAACUUUGCGGUGUUUGAGGUUAUUUCAUUGUCCAGAAUUGUUGUUUCAGAGGGAUGGCUUGCCCUCCAACCUACGUGAACUUGAAAUUUCAUCCUGCGACCAACUCACAUCUCAGGUGGACUGGGGUUUGCAAAGAUUGGCCUCUCUUACAAGAUUCAAUAUCAGGGGUGGAUGCCAAGAGGUUCAUUCUCUUCCCUGGGAGUGCCUACUGCCCUCCACAAUUACCACUCUCAGAAUUGAAGGACUUCGAAACCUCAAGUCUCUAGACAGUAAGGGGCUUCAACAACUUACCUCUCUCUCAAACUUAUACAUUGGCGACUGCCCUGAGUUCCAAUCCUUUGGAGAAGAGGGGCUUCAACAUCUCACCUCCCUUAAAACAUUAUCCAUUAGCUGCUGCCCUGAGCUCAAAUCUUUAACAGAAGCAGGUCUUCAACACCUUAGCUCACUUGAAAAAUUGCUGAUCUUCGACUGCCCGAAGCUCCAAUACCUGACGAAAGAGAGACUGCCAAACUCCCUCUCUUCUCUGGUUGUUUACAAAUGCUCUUUGCUGGAAGGUCGCUGCCAAUUUGGGAAAGGCCAAGAUUGGCAGUAUGUAGCUCACAUUCCACACAUAAUCAUCAACGAUGUGUUAUACUGAUGAAGAUGGAAAUAUAUCAAUGUCAAUCAGGUACUUGUUCCAUACUCAAAAUAACUUCCUUUAAAAUAAAAAAUGAUGUGGCAAUUAUUAAGUUUAUGCUUCAAAAUUUCUUAUCAUCUCUAUAGUGCUUCCUUGUUCUCUAUAAGGUUUGGUUGAUUUGGCUAUGGUCAUAAAGGCAUGGUGCCAAGCAGCUCUCAGGAUAUUCUAAGUGACUUGGUCUUCUUGAGCCUCAAUCAUGAUUUAUGGUUAGUGAAAUAUUUUAAUUCUCUUUGAUCCUUUGUCAUGAUCUAUUAUGGAUUUGUACUUGUAGAGACUUCAUUUUCGACUUCCCGAUGGACCAACAGUGGAGACCUCACAAGUUUUUCUUAAUCAUGACUGCAUCAUUUUGUAGGUUCUCGUUUGGCUAAUACUUUCCAAUAGUUAAAGCAUUUGUGCAGUGAUGUAUAUCAUGCUUUAUGUCAAUUUACAAAAAAAUUGUUAUAAGGGAUCUUCCAGAUGGAAGGUGGAGUGAGGAAGAUGUCGUUGUUUUAGUGCCCCGACUCAUUGUUCUUAUUGAACGCAAAGUAUCUUAAUGGUACUGCCUGCUCAAAUUUUACUGAGAUUGCUCUGUUUUUGUUGGGCAAUCUGCACCUACUGGAGACAGUAUUCACUAUGGUUCUACUUGUAAGCGGGGAGAGAUCACCUGAAUGAUAGUUGAUACCACACCACCAAUUAGCCACUGUCAAAAGGCAAGGAUAUGGGAAUGCAUCUUCUUUGUUAUGUACUUAGCAGGACUUAUUUCUUUUCUUUGUUUUUUUUUGCCUAAUUUUGAUCUCAUACAGUUCUUGUUUGGUGUUUCUUAGGUCUUGGCUAUGAUCAGAAAUUUCCAUGUACACUAUGUAGCACACCCCACUUUUCAGGACCAGGAGGUCCAUUCAAGCUCUCAUUGUUCAUCUCAGGAGAGUCAGAUGUUUGUUUGAAAAGAAAAAUACCAAAGUUCAGGUGAAGGUCUAUACAUUUGAGAUUCCCAUGAAGAAUGUUGUAAUUCGAUCUAUUCAAUUUUGAGAGCUUUUGUAGUUCUGUUUGCCAUUUUGAUGUUGGUACCAUUUGAUGAGGGCGGUAGACUAUAACUCCCCCAUUCAACCUUCCAAAUUUUGUAUAGGAAAGAUGAUGUUGUAUUGACCUUAUUCACUUCUUCAUGCAAUGAAAAUUCUCCUCUCUUCAAUACUCCCAAGUCUGCUCAAGUUUUUACCUUUUCACAUUAAUGAUAUUCAUACCUGCUUUAGAGUGCGUUUGACAGUAAUUUUAGAAAAUAUUUCUAUCAUUUCUAAUACUUGAAAAAUUUUAUUUUUCAAGUAUUAGAAAUAUUAUAAACACUUCCUAGAAUCAUUGUUAAACGCAUUCUUAAUUACUAGCCGCUGACAAUCAAGCUUCAUUUAUGGGAAGACAAAAAAUGAAGGAAACUGAAUCAUAGUAGAAAAGAAACAUUUAGUUCCAACAUCAAUACUAUUAAUUUACAUCAUCCCUCUAUCCCUAUCUAUGAAAGAAUUCUUCAUAUGAAUACAUCCUUCCAUCUAAGGACCCAUGAUUGUAGUUAAAAGACACUCAUACAACACCCACUACUAUGUAGAGGAGUGCAUUGGUGAUACUACUUUGAGAUUUGAUAUUUGAAAACUUUGAGAUUGUAAUAAAUAACAAUAAAAGAAAUAAUGCAUAAAAGUAAAUAGGAAAGCUAGAGAUAAAGAGAAUUCAAACUCAAGAUCUUUAUAGUACAUAACCUUACGUAUAUCCGUUCUGCUCAAGUUCCAAUUGGGAUGAAGGUUCCACUAAUCCAAAACUUUUUAAAGCUCAAGCCUUCAAACUUUAUAUAUUUGGAUUAUGGUUCUAAGGAACUCUCUAUAGCAAAAUUUUUAAAAACAAAGUCUCCAAACUUUUCCUUCUAAAUUAUGGUUCCAAAGUACCAUCUCAAGAGAUAUCCCGCUCUUGAGCUAUUCAAGCAAUCCUACACUUGUUAAUCUUCGUAGGACUAACAAUUGAAAGAAGAUUAAUCUUUGUAUUAUACAAUUUUGAUUCAAAUAAAUACAAAGGAAGCAAUGAUAUCAAAGUGCAUCAAAUGGAUAAGUAAGAUUAUGAAUCAAGAUGCACUAAAAACCAUUAUCCCAAUGGAUAAUAAUCAAAAUUUGGUUCUUAGAGAAUUAAUAAUGAGAGUUAAAAGGUCUUUAUACAUGUAUUGUGAGUAAACUAGACAUUAGAGAUAAUUAAAGAAAUCUUAAAGUUUCGAGCAAUCACGAACUUUUUGUGUUUUUUGUUUCCCCUCACGUGUAUGUCCUCAAAUCUACGUAUACCAUUCUAUUAUUCAAAACAAAUUUUCAUAUUUCAUUUUUUUCUUAGAAGAAAAAUACUUAGUUUCUAGUUGUCUAAUAUAAGGACAUUUUGAUAUUUUUCACUUUUCAAUUUAUUGUCGUUUUUAUAUUUCUUUUUUGAGCUUGAGAUCAACAUGAAUAUCUUAAUUUUGACUUUUAACUUAUUUUAAACUAUUCUUUAAUAAUUUUUUGUCCAUAGUUUUUUACUGUACAUUAAAAUAGUGAAGAAGUUUGUAUUCCAAUUUUAUAAUAUGUAGCAACUGUGCAAAACACAUUAAAUCUACUAGCAUAGUGAAAGUGUUGAAGUAUUUUCACAUGGACAAAUCAAUUUUAUGAAUAAACUUAAUUUACAAGUAGUUAUUCAAUCACUUGAAAUAAUAAAGAGUUCAUACUACAAGGAAAAAGUUCAAUUGAAAUAAUAAAGAACCCCUAGGUUAAGAAGCUCCAUAUUUUACUACAAUUAAUAAACUUAUGGAUCAUAUAACUUGUAUAUAUAUUUUUUUGUUUUAAUUAUUUGCUAUUUUCUUUUGACAUCGGAGAUGAAUUUAUUAUUUAAUAGAAAGUUUGUUUCCCAUGGGAGAAUUUAUUGAAAUUUGAAUAAUUUUAAAAUUAUAGUAUUUUUUUAAUUUUAAAUAGAACUCGUGAUUUAAAAAGACGAAUUCAAUGUAAAAGUGAACUCAUAUGUUAAAAAGAUGAGCUCAUAUUUUUUACAUUUUCAAUAUAAAAAGUUUUAAAAUAAAAAAUAUACAAAAAGUGAAUUCGUCUUUUUAAAAGACAAGUUCAAUAUAAAAGAAGAAUUCGUCUCUUAAGAAAACGAGUUUAGUGUAAAAAUAAAAAUAAAAAGUAAUAAAAAGUGUCGUAUUUUUGUAUUUAUUUAUUUUUAAAAAAAAAUCCCUGAAAUUUGUUACCCGAAGUGCCACGUGACAAAUCGGAUGAAAAAGAGCCACGUCACCGCUAUUAGUUGCUCACGUGCCACUCCAUAUCGGACACUUCCUCACGUGCGAAUCCUCUCAGAAAUUCAGAAUCCAUCUUCCCUGGUAAGUUAUUGAGUUAAUUUAGGCUUUAGUAUAUGAAUUAUAGCUUAAGGGCAUCCUCAAUUAUUCCAAUUUUGGUUAAUUUUCUCAAUAUUGGAGGCUCUUUCGUUUGUCGCUUCUAUUUGAGAUUUUGAAUCACUUGCGUGUGUUUGGUUGCGGAGAAAGUGUAGGAAAAAAAUAUAAAGUCAAAAUAAUAUAGAGUAUCCUGCCUUUUAUUAGGUAGUGGUCCUCAUGGAAUAGCUAGGUGAGGGUUUGAUCAAUAUAUUUUGCACAGCGUAUCUCAUUAUGGAUGAAAUUUCUUAAGCAGUGUGGGUUUGGGGUUGAAAUACUAGGUAUUUAUCUCCAAUUAAUACAAAUUUAUUACUUAUUCGAUUUCAAGUUGAAAUGCUGUUGGUCACCUUCUUGAACAAUAAAUUGGAACAAUGCAGAAAAACUUCUUUUCUCAGAUCUGUGAGUAAUAAUUAGAGCAAGAGAAACAGCUUCUCUCUCGCCCCUGCUGCCAUUGCCCCUAAUUAUAUUUCUCUUUCUUUUUCUUUUCUUUUUAUUUGUGUUUGGAUUUGGAUUUUAUAGCCUGAAACUCUCUCAUUUGUGGGUACGCCAAUUUCUGUCUUAUCUUCUUCAUUGUUUUCUCUUAAAUUUAUGUUCUUUUGAUCAAUUAGUUUGUUCUUUUGACUUGAAUUUGAUUGAUUUUAUUUGGGUUUCUUUUGAAUGGGAGCUUUGACUAUUCUGAAUUUUGUUUCUUAAUGUGAGUUUUGUCUGAGUGUUGGACUGUGCAAGUCGUUUGAUGAUACAUUCAAAUUGUACCGAAUCAGUUUGAUGAAAAACCCACAAAUUGUUGAUGGAAAACUGUGUUAUGGAGUCUUGUAUCCUUCCGUUUCAUUUUUUCACCCAAACAGGUGAAUUUCUCAUCCUUGGAUUCUAAAUCCAAAUCCGUGUUUGUGGACAAUGACCUUACAAUCAGAAAUAAGCAAAUGUGCAUGUAAACUUGCCCCUUCAUUCAUCUGCCUAUUUGUCAGGUUGUGAAACCUGAGUAGGAGAUCAUUUCUGGAACUCAUCGAUGAGUUGGGAAGUGGGUUGAGUUGUGGUUCGCUGUUUGUGGGUUCGACCAUUCUGUCUAUAUCUGUUCCUGCAUUGCUCUAGUUUAACACUAACCUUAAAGAUUUCAUGGAGACAAUGAGCGACAAAUAAUUUUCAAUAGUGUUUUGUCUCUCUAAAAUUUCAAAAGAUUUGACGUUCCAUUUGUCCAGGUACUGAAUUUAUUACAUGCUCAUACAUCAAGCUUAGACAAUGAUUGUAGAGGAUCUUGGAAUUGAAGCCAAGGAAGCGGCGGUUCGUGAGGUUGCCAAACUUUUGCCACUACCUGAACUUUUGCAGUCAAUUUCGUCAAUCAAGGCUGAUUACAUUACGCGCCAACAGGUGAUGCUUCUUUGUCCAAUUUAAUAGUCAAAAUUUCUAUUUCAAUUUGGGUUAGUUUCAAUCACAUAUGUAGGUGAGUACGUGUGUGUGUGUGUGUGUGUGUGUGUGUGCACACCUAUCCACACACAUGCAAAAUUUUGAAGUUAUGCAGGUGUUGCGUUAAGAUUAUACUGAUUGAACAAGAGAAAUUUUUGGUUUUGGGUGACUGGAAUGAGCAAUCAUCUUGGAACUCUCUAGAUACAUGGAAAUUGAAGUGUGAGAUCAGGUUGAAUGAGUUGCUAGCUUGUUUUAUUUAUGAAAGUUGAGUUCAUGUGCUAGGAAUCAGAUCUCUCAAGUUUUGCUUUCUUGGGGCUACUUCACUCUGUUUCUGAAGUGAAAGAUUUUAAGAUGCUCCCCAACAAGGAGGAGUCCAAUUAGGCUUGUAAGAGGAUUUAAAACUAGUAUGGAACUCAACUAUUCUUAGCAUCCGAUCAAUAGAGUGCUCCAUCAAUUGACAUGUAGAAUCUUUAUUGACAAUUGAUUGAGAAAGAAAAGCCUUAGAGCUAAAUUUAUGAAGGGGCUCAAUCUAUCAAUUCUCAAAUAUACUCCUAGCAUGUGUGGAGAUCCAAUUCCCUAUGCAAUGAGUUAGGGCAUUUAAAAGAUUGGUGGGGAACUAAAAACUAUCCAAGUCCUAUGUUUUCUAGGUCACUUGGUAUAGCCAAAAAAGUGUGUUGACUGAUCCUGAUGGUCUUCAAUGAUGCGUUCAAGGAUUGAGUUCAGAGCAUGCUGGAUCACAUUGGACAUCUGAGGGAACUCUGACUAACCUAACUAGAUCUUUUAAUGGAUCAUAAAAAUGCUAAAUUCCUAAUAUUUCUUAUAUUAAAUUUAUGUAAAACCUUCAAGUUGCCUUCUGAAUGUUGCUAUAUUUUUUUAAUGUCAGGCAAAUGAUGCACAACUUAGUAUGAUGGUUGCAGAGCAGGUAUACAGAAACUUCUAUUCUAAGCUUCAGGGAAAUUAUUAUGUUGUUAUUAAUGUUAUGUGGUUACUAUUAAGUCUCUUAUGUUCUUCACUUUUUUUAUGAGUCUAUGGAGCUGAAGAAUCCCAGGCACUUUAAUUUUACUACCAUAUUGAUGUGUUCUAUUGAAACAACACUCUUAAAUUCAGGUUGAACAGGUACAGGCUGGGUUGGAAUCAAUUUCCUCAUCUCAAAAGACAAUAAACCAGCUUCGUGAGAACUUUCUCUCUAUUGAGAGGUAUGUUCUGCUUAUGAUUUUCCUAGAAAAUUCUUGUUGUUUUCUAUAUGUGCAGUUAUUAGGCUUCAACUCAGUAUUAAAGCAUUCAACUUUAAGGACUAAUGUGUUUACUUGCUUUUGCCUCAGGCUAUGUCAAGAGUGCCAAAACUUAAUUGAAAAUCAUGACCAAAUAAAGCUCCUUAGCAAUGUGAGAAAUAACUUAAAUACCACACUGAAGGUGAAUGCAAUGUCUGACCUUUGUUUUCAUCAACUUUUUCUUUAUCAUGAUAUGUUUCUUGCAUACACACACACAAACAUACAUAAGUUCUUGUCUCUCUAUAUCUAUGCACAUGUUAUUGUUCAGCUGCAGCUUGCAGUCUACUAAAUAAUGUUAUCUUUUUUCUUUCUUUUUGUCUGUGUGUCGUUGUUUUCCCCCCUUUUCUUUUCCACCUAUCCAAGGCAACAGAACAAAUGUGGCAUCCUAAAAUGCUGCCAGAAGCUAUGAGCCCAAUGACCAUUAAUGUGGGGCAGAAGAGCUUUUAUCGAAGUCAUUUUUUCAAAAUUCAGUUAGGAAAAAGGAGACACUUUGUAAUGCAUGACCUUAUUCAUGACUUGGCUCAACUGGUGUCUGGAGAAUUUUUUAUGUAUGCCAAAUCUCAGAAAAGACACGUCAUUUAUCAUAUUUUCCUAGAAAAUAUAAUACAUUUGAUAGAUAUGGAACACUUUCUGAAUUUAAGUGUUUGCGAACAUUUUUAUCAUUGGAGGUUUACGGGAUUGGCUACUUAAGUAAUAGAGUUCUACACAAUCUAUUAUCAGAAAUUAGAUGCUUGCGGGUGUUGUGUUUGCAUAACUAUAGGAUUGUUUAUUUGCCCAAUUCAAUUGGCAAGUUACAACAUUUGUGCUACUUGGAUCUCUAUAAUGCUUUGCUUGAAAAAUUGCCUACAUCAAUAUGUACUUUGUACAAUUUACAAACAUUGAUAUUGUCAAGGUGUUCGAAUCUGUAUGAAUUGCCUUCAAGAAUCGAAAAUUUGAUUAAUUUGCGUUAUCUUGACAUUCUUGGUACCCCACUAAGAGGGAUGCCAAGUCAUAUUGGCCAUUUAAAAUGUUUGCAAAACUUGAGUUAUUUCAUUGUGGGGCAAAAGAACAGGUCGGGGAUUGGAGAAUUGAAGUAACUUUCAGAUAUAAAGGGAACACUUAGAAUUUCAAAGUUGCAGAAUGUGAAAUGUGGCAGGGAUGCAAGAGAAGCCAAUUUGAAGGACAAGAUGUACAUGGAGGAGUUAGUGUUGGAUUGGGAUUGGGAAGCAAGUGAUAUUAUACAAGAUGGAGACAUAAUUGAUAAUCUUCGGCCACAUACAAACCUAAAGAGACUCUCUGUUAAUCUUUUUGGUGGUUCGAGAUUUCCGACAUGGAUAGCAAAUCCUUUAUUCUCUAAUCUCCAGACCCUAAAGCUUUGGAAAUGUAAAAAUUGCUUAUCAAUACCACCACUUGGGCAGCUACCCUCUCUUGAACACUUACGGAUCUCAGGAAUGAAUGGAAUAGAGAGGGUGGGCAGUGAGUUUUAUCAUUAUGGGAAUGCUUCUUCUUCCAUUUCUGUUAAGCCUUCCUUCCCAUCCUUACAAAACAUUUGAGUGGAUGGACAAUUGGAAGAAAUGGUUGUGUUGUGGAUGCAGACGUGGAGAAUUCCCUCGUCUCCAGGAGCUUUAUAUGCGGCACUGUCCCAAACUCACUGGGAAAUUACCAAAACAGCUUCGAUCCUUGAAGAAACUUGAAAUUGUUGGAUGUCCGCAGCUGCUUGUGCCUUCACUCAAAGUCCCUGCAAUCAGUAAAUUGACGAUGGUCGAUUGUGGUAAAUUUUAGUUGAAAAGGCCAGAUAGUGGCUUCAUUGCUCUUCAAACCUCACUCGUUAAAAUUUCAAACAUCUCUCAGUGGAAGCAGCUACCAGUGGGAGUGCAUAGCCUCUCAAUUACAGAAUGUGAUUCUGUGGAGACUCUAAUAGAAGAGGAACCGCUCCAGAGCAAAACUUGUGUUCUCAAAGAUUUGCAAAUCACAAAUUGUUGUUUGUCUAGAUCCUUGCGCAGAGUUGGUUUACCCACUAAUGCAUUGGAAUCACUAGAAAUCUCUCACUGUUCCAAGCUAGAGUUUCUCCUACCUGUGUUGUUGAGAUGCCACCACCCUUUCCUUAAAUAUAUACUGAUCGGAGAUAGCACUUGUGAUUUUCUCUCAUUAUCCUUCUCCUUAAGCUUCUUCCCAAGGUUGAACCAAUUUGAAAUCUAUAAUCUUGAAGGGCUUGAAUUCCUCUCAAUUUUGAGUUCAGUGGGGGAUCCCACAUCUCUUAAUUAUUUGGAUAUCCAAGAGUGCCCUGAUAUUGUAUAUAUUGAAUUGCCGGCUCUCGACUGAGCAACUUAUGUGAUCUCCAGAUGCUUGAAGCUCAAGUUAUUGAAGCACACCCUCUCAACUUUGGAGAGUUUGAAUUUAAGAGGUUGCCCAGAAUUGUUGUUCCAGAGAGAUGGUUUGCCCUCCAACCUACGUGAACUUCUCAUUUCAUCCUGCAACCUACUCACAUCUCAGGUGGACUGGGUUUGCAAAGACUGGCCUCUCUUACAAUGUUCACAAUCAAAGGUGGAUGCCAAGACAUGGAAUCAUUCCCCGAUGAGUGCCUAUUGCCCUCCACAAUUACCACUCUCAGAAUUAAACGACUUCCAAACCUCAGGUCUCUGGACAGUAAGGGGCUUCAACAACUUACCUCCCUCUCAGACUUAGACAUCGGCAAAUGCCCUGAGUUCCAAUCCUUUGGAGAAGAGGGGCUUCAACAUCCACCUCCCUCACAACAUUAUCCAUUAGCAAUUGUUCUAAGCUCCGAUCCCUUGGAGAAGAGAGGCUUCAACAUCUCACCUCCCUCAAAUCAUUAUCCAUUAGUGGCUGCCAUGAGCUCGAAUCUUUAACAGAAGCAGGUCUUCAACGCCUUAUCUCACUUGAAAAUUUGCAGAUCUCCGAUUGCCCGAAGCUCCAAUACUUGACAAAAGAGAGGCUGCCAAACUCCCUCUCUCAUCUGUCUGUUGACAAAUGUUCUUUGCUGGAACGUUGCUGCCAAUUUGGUAAAGGCCAAGAUUGGCAGCAUAUAGCUCACAUUCCACACAUAAUCAUCAACGAUGAGUUAUACUGAUGAAGAUGGAAAUUUAUCAUUGUCAAUCAGUUACUUGUUCCAUACUCAAAAUAACUUCCUUUAAAAAAAAUAAAAAUGAUGUGGUUAUUAUUAAGUCUAGGCUUCAAAAUUUCUUAUCAUCUCUAUUGUACUUGCUGGCUCUGUGAGGUUUGAUUGAUUUGCCUAUGGUCAUAAAGGCAUGGUGCCAAGCAGCUCUCCGGGUGUUCUAAGUGACUUGCUCUUCUUGAGCCUCAAUCAUGAUUUAUGGUUAGUGAGAUAUUUUAUUUGCUUUGAUUCUUUCUCAUGACCGAUUAUGGAUUUGUACUGGUUGGUUUCUUUCAGAUGUUCCAUCAGUGGAGACCUCACUUAACAAUUAAUCUGCAAAUUACAAGUUUCUCUUAAUCAUGACUGCAUCAUUUUGUAGGUUCUAUAAGGUUGGCAUGUAUAAAGGAACAGGUAUGUUUCAUUUGGCUAAUGCUUUUUAAUAGCUAACGCAUUCAUGCAGUGAUGUAUGUCGUGUUCUAUGUCAAUUCACAAUAAAAUUGUUGUAAGGGUUCUUCCAGAUGGAACGUGGAGUGGAGAAGAUGAUGAAGUUUUAGUGCCUGUAGGCAUUAUUCUUAUUGAACACAGAGAAACUAUUCUGCUGAUACUGUAUCCUUGACAAAAACUGAUCAGGUGGCUCUGCUGUUACCAUGGAUUGACAUGCUACUUAAUGGCACGGCCUGGUCAAAUUUUAAUGAGACUACUCUGUUUUGGUUGGACAGUCUCCACUUACCAGAGAUGGUUCGCUGCGUUCUACUUGCAAACAGGGAGAGAUCACCUUAUUGAUAGUUGAUACCACACCACCAAUUAGCCACCGUGAAAAGGCAAGGAUAUGGGAAUACAUCAUCUUAGGUCUUGGCUAUGAUCAGAAAUUUCCAUGUACGGUAUGUUGCUGUUGAAAUUUCCAAGCCACACUUUUUAGGACCAUGAGGCCCAUUCAGGCUCUCAUUGUUUAUCUCAGGAGAUUCAGAUGUUUGUUUGAAAAGAAAAAUACCAAAGUUCAAGUGAAGGUUUAUACAUUUGAGAUUCCCAUGAAGAAUGUUGGUACUAUUUGAAGAGGGUGGUAGACUACCACUCCCUCAUUCAAGCUUCCAAAUUUUGUAUAGGAAAGAUGAUGUUGUAUUGACCUUCUUCACUUCUUCACUUCUUCAUGCAAUGAAAAUUUACUUCUCUUCUAUAUAUGCCCACACUCUGCUCAGGUUUUUACUUGCAUUAAUGAUACUACUCGGUCACCUUAUUGAUCCCCACAUCAACCAUUAGGCCAUUUUCAAUGGGCACACCUUCUGUUGUUUAGGUCAAAAUCUAAUGUCUGCAGUACGCUUGAUCAUGUUUGUAAAUUAGUAGUUUGAUGUCUAUGUUAAAUUUUCAAAGGAUUUAGAAUGUAUAAAUCAAACGAUUGAGAUUUUUUAAAUAUAUUCAAGAUUAAGUUACAAGGAUCAUUGUUGAAGGCGGUCACAAAUUCUCUUUUGAAUUAAUUUAUAAGUCAUCGAUAUUUUUUUCAUUACGAUAUAUUCAUGGAAUAGAAUUUCUUAUAAUUAUAAAGGUUGAAAUAUCCUAUUGCUAUAUUUUCUUUUAAGCUAUAUUUAUUUCUCCAAAAAAAAUUGAAGGAAAAUGUAAGGGAAAGAAAAAGUGAAAAAAAAAUGAUUUAAAAUUAAUAAAUUAUUCUUAUAUAUUUUUUCAAAUUCAUUUCACUUAUUUUUCUUUAUUAUAUAAAGAUUAAAUAAUUUAAAAAUAUAUAAAUUUUAAAGUAAUUUUAAUAAUUUUUUUUUUUUCAUAUUUUUAUGGUAAAACUAAAUAUAUAUAAGAAAAUCAUUUUUUUUUUAAACAUUUUCUUCUUUCGAUUAGACUUUAAGAAAAUGUAUCUUUGAUAAUUAUGAAAGUAGUUUACCGUAGUACUCUGUUUGGAGUAGUUGGUAUCAUCAAUUUCUAACAUUAAAAAAAUUAAGAAAAAAAUAUUUGUUGUUUUUGCAAAUGGAUUGCUAUAGAAUACAAUACUUGAUACAUACACACCAUCGUCCUUUAACUUCUAUUAGAAAUAACCCGAGUAAGCUUUUCUUCACCAUGUGUGGGCACUGCUGCAGGAGCCGCUUAAAGCUUAGGGACCAAGGCCCUAGCCACAACCAUACUUUUUUAAAAUUUUUUUAAAAUCCAAACUUUUAAACUCUUUAUACUUGGAUUAUGGUUUUAAGAUACCUUCUAUAAUGAAACUUUUAAAGACAGUUUCCAAAUUUUUCUCUAUGAAUUAUGGUUCCAAAAUACCCUUUCAAGAAAUACCCGACUCUUGAACCACGUGCCCAAGUGAUCCCACACUUGUCAAUCCUCAUAAGAUUUAUGAUUGAAAGAAGAUUAAUCUUUGUGUACAAUUUUGAUUCAAAUAAAUACAACAUCAUGGUGGAUAAGUAAGAUUAUGAAUCAAGGAGCACUAAAAAAAAACUCCCUACAACCAAUGGAUAAUAAUUAAUGUUAGGUUCUUGGAGAGUCAACAAUGAGAAUUAAAUGGCCUUUAUAUAUGUAUUGAAAGUAAACUAGUGAUCAUUAGAGAUAAAAACCCUGAAGUCCCAAUCGAGCAGCAACUAGUCAUUACUCAUAAGCCUAUGUUACCGUUGAAAGGUCUUUAUACAUGUAGUGGAAAUUAACAUUGUAAGGCCCUAUGUUAAUUGAUCAAUUAUUUGAUUGAAUCAGAAAGGUCAUCAUAAUUUUAUGUGUAAGCUAGAAGGGGCAUAUUGAAAGACCUCUCAUGGGCAAUUUGGUCAACGACCUGAUCAAUCGCUCAUUAACACUCCAUUGUCCUUUAGCUUCCAGUUAGUGAAAAUUUAGUAACACUAUACUUAAUGUAGUUUUAUUUCAUACCUUUUUAGAACUCUUUUAAGCUUGAAAUAAAUAAAUCAAACGUGGUUUCAAAGAGAAAAUACUUCAUCCAACUUCUAAAAAGAUUUAUUACAAUUUGAUUUUAAUUGGAUGAAAUUUGGUGAUAGCUACUUUAAUAAAAAUACGCACACAAUCAUAAUUUAGUGCACCAACAAUCUUACAAUGUAGUAUCUUAAACCUGAAUUUCAUAAACUUUUUCCUUUUAAACCCAUUUUGAUCCACUUUAAUCUUAAUGAUAUUUUCUUCUUGAUUAUAACUCAAAGGAAGUCUUCUUGUUAUAGAUAAUCUCCUUCUACAAUUGCACUUUCUCUUGUUUCUUGGAGAUGGAAAAUACACUUGAGUUUUAGCAUAUGGCUAACAAAAUUAAAAUCAUUUUUAUAAUAAUUUUAUAAUAAUUAAAGUUACUUCUAAUAAUUAAAAUCAUUUUUAAAAACCUAGAAAAAUAUUCCUUGAUAGAUAAUUUUCAAAUAAUUGUACUAAUUAAUUAUGGUGAAAAUCUUGUCAAAAUUAGUAAAUGAUCUCAUAAUCUCAACUAAUUUUAUGUAACUUUAUGGCUGACAAAACUAUAUAAUAAGCAUACAUAACCUUCAUAUUACCAUGUAAGUAUUUAUUUAUAUUGCAACAUUUUAUCAAAAAUUGAUUGAGUGUGAAAAUAAAUAAAAUGAUAACUCAAUUCAUUGAAAUGAAAUAUCAAAAUUCGUAGGAAAAAAACAUCCCUCAACUAUUAUUGAAUCCUUUAUUCAUUUAUUUAUUCAUUGUUUUUUUUGUUUUGUUUUUUGUUUUUGUUUUUGCCUUUUGUUUUUGUUUUUGUUUUUGUUUUUUCUGUUUUUUUUUUUUUUUUUUUGUGCCUUGUACAUAUUUAAUUAUUAAAAAUUUUAAAAAAAAUUUAUAAAAUAUUUCUCCCACAAAAAGGAGUUUAUGAAAGUGUUGAAAUAUGACAAUGAUCAGUAAUAUUAAAUUUGAAAAUCGUCACAACAAAAUUUCACCUACUCAAGAUAUUUGGAAAUGAAAUAAAAAAACUCUUCUAAAUUUAAAAGAUCAUUUAAUUAGGUGCUAAUGGCCAAUAAGUCUUCUAAACGGAAGUAAAUUGUAAGCUUAAUUAAAUAAGUUUUUUGGCCCUUCUUGUGGCCGGCCAUGUCCAUGCUCCUUUUCAAGCCGGCCUCCUUUGUUUUGUGUGGUUUGUCAUUUGUGAACAAUGUCAGACCUGAGGCCUUCCAUCGUCUCGAAUAAUUUAACCAGGUCUGACCCAACUUCGCUACCAAGAAACAUUGCAUUUUCUCAAUACAAACCAAUCUUUUCCAGUUUGGUGGUUUGAUUUUGGAUCGCUUGCCUUCGUUUUUCCUUGAUUCAUCACUCACUUUUCUCUACAAACGAACAGAUAUGGCUGGGGCUUUAGUUGGAGGAGCUUUCUUCUCGGCUUCUCUUCAAGUUCUAUUUGACAGGUUGGCUUCUCGCGAGGUUGUGAGCUUCAUCCAGGGGCGGAAGCUCAGCGAUGCGCUCCUGAAGAAGUUGGAAAGGAAGUUGCUGGUAGUCCAUGCAGUGCUCAACGAUGCUGAGGUCAAACAAUUUACAGAUCCAUAUGUGAAGAAGUGGCUGGUCUUGCUUAAAGAGACUGUGUAUGAUGCGGAGGACAUACUGGAUGAGAUCGCCACAGAGGCUUUGCGACACAAGAUGGAAGCUGCAGAGUCCCAAACCAGCACGAGUCAGGUGGGUAACAUCAUGGACAUGUGUACCUGGGUUCAUGCCCCAUUUGACAGUCAGAGCAUAGAGUCGAGGGUGGAGGAGAUCAUUGAUAGACUUGAAGAUAUGGCACGAGACAGAGCCGUCCUUGGGUUGAAAGAAGGUGUUGGCGAGAAACUGUCACAAAGGUGGCCUUCUACUUCUUUGGUGGAUGAAUCUCUUGUCUAUGGCAGGCAUGAUGAAAAACAGAAGAUGAUUGAACAGGUGUUGUCUGAUAAUGCAAGGAGGGAUGAGAUAGGUGUGAUUUCCAUAGUGGGCAUGGGCGGCCUUGGCAAGACCACACUUGCUCAACUUCUAUAUAAUGACGCAAGGGUGAUGGAACACUUCGAUUUGAAGGCAUGGGUUUGUGUUUCCGAAGAAUUUGAUCCUAUUAGAGUUACAAAAACAAUUCUGGAGGAGAUUACUUCAUCCACUUUCGAGACAAAUAACCUAAAUCAGCUUCAAGUUAAACUGAAAGAGAGAAUUAAUACGAAGAAAUUUCUACUUGUCUUGGAUGAUGUUUGGAACGAGGACUCUAGUAACUGGGCUAUGCUACAAACUCCACUCAAAGGCGGGGCAAAGGGAAGCAAGAUUGUUGUAACGACCCGCAGCACCAAUGUUGCAGCAGUUAUGCGCGCUGUUUAUUCUCAUUGUCUUGGUGAACUAUCCUCUGAAGAUUCCUGGUCUCUGUUUAGAAAACUCGCAUUUGAAAAUGGAGACUCGAGUGCGUAUCCACAACUAGAAGCAAUUGGUAAGAAGAUUGUGGACAAAUGCCAAGGUUUGCCACUAGCUGUAAAAGCAGUGGGGGGCCUUUUACAUUCUGAGGUUGAAGCGAGGAAAUGGGAUGAUAUACUAAACAGCCAAAUAUGGGAUUUGUCAACUGAUACAGUUCUUCCUGCAUUGAGAUUGAGUUACAAUUAUCUGCCUUCACAUCUAAAGCAAUGUUUUGCCUAUUGCUCAAUUUUUCCCAAGGACUACGUAUUGGAGAAAGAGAAGCUAAUUUUGUUAUGGAUGGCUGAAGGUCUUUUACAAGAAUCAAAAGGCAAGAGAAGAAUGGAAGAGGUAGGUGACUUGUACUUUCACGAGCUUUUAUCGAAGUCGUUUUUUCAAAAUUCAGUUUGGAAAAAGAAGACACACUUUGUAAUGCAUGACCUUAUUCAUGACUUGGCUCAACUGGUGUCUGGAGAAUUUUCUGUCAGUUUGGAGGAUGGUCGGGUAUGCCAAAUCUCAGAAAAGACUCGUCAUUUAUCAUAUUUUCGUAGACAAUAUGAUACCUUUGAUAGAUAUGGAACACUUUCUGAAUUUAAGUGCUUACGAACAUUUUUAUCAUUGGGGUACAUGCUUGGCUACUUAAGUAAUAGAGUUCUACACAAUCUAUUAUCGAAAAUUAGGUGCUUGCGGGUGUUAUGUUUUCAUAACUACAGGAUUGUUAAUUUGCCCCAUUCAAUUGGCAAGUUGCAACAUUUGCGCUACUUGGAUCUCUCUAAUACUUUGAUUGAAAAAUUGCCUACAUCAAUAUGUACUUUGUACAAUUUACAAACAUUGAUAUUGUCAAUGUGUUCGAAUCUGUAUGAAUUGCCUUCAAAAAUCGAAAAUUUGAUUAAUUUGCGUUAUCUUGACAUUGAUGAUACCCCACUAAGAGAGAUGCCAAGUCAUAUUGGCCAUUUAAAAUGUUUGCAAAACUUGAGUUAUUUCAUUGUGGGGCAAAAGAGCCGGUCGGGGAUUGGAGAAUUGAAGGAACUUUCAGAUAUAAAGGGAACACUUACAAUUUCAAAGUUGCAGAAUGUGAAAUGUGGCAGGGAUGCAAAAGAAGCCAAUUUGAAGGACAAGAUGUACAUGGAGGAGUUAGUGUUGGAUUGGGAUUGGAGAGCAGGUGAUGUUAUACAAGAUGGAGACAUAAUUGAUAAUCUUCGGCCACAUACAAACCUAAAGAGACUCUCUAUUAAUCUUUUUGGUGGUUCGAGAUUUCCGACAUGGAUAGCAAAUCCUUCAUUCUCUAAUCUCCAGACCCUAAAGCUUUGGAAUUGUAAAAUUUGCUUGUCAUUGCCACCACUUGGGCAGCUACCCUCUCUUGAACAGUUACGGAUCUCAGGAAUGAAUGGAAUACAGAGGGUGGGCAGUGAGUUUUAUUAUUAUGGGAAUGCUUCUUCCUCCAUUGCAGUUAAGCCUUCCUUCCCAUCCUUACAAACUCUAACAUUUGAGUGCAUGCACAAUUGGGAGAAAUGGUUGUGUUGUGGAUGCAGACGUGGAGAAUUCCCUCGUCUCCAGGAGCUUUAUAUAAAGAAAUGUCCCAAACUCACAGGGAAAUUACCAAAACAGCUUCGAUCCUUGAAGAAACUUGAAAUUGUUGGAUGUCCGCAGCUGCUUGUGGCUUCACUCAAAGUUCCUGCAAUCAGUGAAUUGACGAUGGUCGAUUGUGGUAAAUUGCAGUUGAAAAGGCCAACUAGUGGCUUCACUGCUCUUCAAACCUCACACGUUAAAAUUUCAAACAUCUCUCAGUGGAAGCAACUACCAGUGGGAGUGCAUAGGCUCUCAAUUACAGAAUGUGAUUCUGUGGAGACUCUAAUAGAAGAGGAACUGGUCCAGAGCAAAACUUGUCUUCUCAGAUAUUUGGAAAUCACAUAUUGUUGUUUGUCUAGAUCCUUGCACAGAGUUGGUUUACCCACUAAUGCAUUGGAAUCACUAAAAAUCUCUCACUGUUCCAAGCUAGAGUUUCUCCUACCUGUGUUGUUGAGAUGCCACCACCCUUUCCUCGAAAAUAUAUACAUCAGAGAUAACACCUAUGAUUCUCUUUCAUUAUCCUUCUCCUUAAGCAUCUUUCCAAGAUUGCGUUGUUUUGAAAUCAGUAAGCUUCAGGGGCUUGAAUUCCUCUAUAUCUCCGUUUCAGAGGGAGAUCCCACAUCUCUUAAUUCUUUGAAUAUCUCACGGUGCCCUGAUGUUGUAUAUAUUGAAUUGCCGGCUCUCGACCUAGCAAGUUAUGAGAUCUCCGGAUGCUUGAAGCUCAAGUUAUUGAAACACACCCUCUCAACUUUGCGGUGUUUGAGGUUAUUUCAUUGUCCAGAAUUGUUGUUUCAGAGGGAUGGCUUGCCCUCUAACCUACGUGAACUUGAAAUUUCAUCCUGCGACCAACUCACAUCUCAGGUGGACUGGGGUUUGCAAAGAUUGGCCUCUCUUACAAGAUUCAAUAUCAGGGGUGGAUGCCAAGAUGUUCAUUCUCUUCCCUGGGAGUGUCUACUGCCCUCCACAAUUACCACUCUCAGAAUUGAACAACUUCCAAACCUCAAGUCUCUGGACAGUAAGGGGCUUCAACAACUUACCUCUCUCUCAAACUUAUACAUUGGCGACUGCCCUGAGUUCCAAUCCUUUGGAGAAGAGGGGCUUCAACAUCUCACCUCCCUCACAACAUUAUCCAUUAGAAAUUGUUCUGAGUUGCAAUCCUUUGGAGAAGAGGGGCUUCAACAUCUCACCUCCCUCGUAACAUUAUCCAUUAGCAGUUGUUCUGAGUUCCAAUCCUUUGGAGAAGAGGGGCUUCAACAUCUUACCUCCCUCAUAACAUUAUCCAUUAGCAAUUGUUCUGAGCUCCAAUCCUUUGGAGAAGAGGGGCUUCAACAUCUCACCUCACUCAAAACAUUAUCCAUUAGCUGCUGCCCUAAGCUCAAAUCUUUAACAGAAGCAGGUCUUCAACACCUUAGCUCAGUUGAAAAAUUGCAGAUCUCCGACUGCCUGAAGCUUCAAUACCUGACGAAAGAGAGACUGCCAAACUCCCUCUCUCUUCUGGCUGUUGACAAAUGCUCUUUGCUGGAAGGUCGCUGCCAAUUUGAGAAAGGCCAGGAUUGGCAUUAUGUAGCUCACAUUCCACACAUAAUCAUCAACCAUGUGUUAUACUGAUGAAGAUGGAAAUAUAUUAAUGUCAAUCAGGUACUUGUUCCAUACUCAAAAUAACUUCCUUCAAAAUAAAAAACGUUGUGGCAAUUAUUAAGUUUAUGCUUCAAAAUUUCUUAUCAUCUCUAUUGUGCUUCCUUGCUCUCUAUAAGGUUUGAUUGAUUUGGCUAUGGUCAUAAAGGCAUGGUGCCAAGCAGCUCUCAGGGUGUUCUAAGUGACUUGGUCUUCUUGAGCCUCAAUCAUGAUUUAUGGUUAGUGAAAUAUUUUAAUUGCUUUGAUCCUUUGUCAUGAGUUAUUAUGGAUUUGUACUUGUAGAGACUUCAUUUUCUACUUCCCGAUGGUCCAACAGUGGAGACCUCACAAGUUUUUCUUAAUCAUGACUGCAUCAUUUUGUGGGUUCUCAUUUGGCUAAUACUUUCCAAUAGUUAAAGCAUUUGUGCAGUGAUGUAUAUCAUGUUCUAUGUCAAUUGACAAUAAAAUUGUUAUAAGGGAUCUUCCAGAUGGAAGGUGGAGUGAGGAAGAUGUCGUUGUUUUAGUGUCUCGGUUCAUUGUUCUUAUUGAACGCAGAGUACCUUAAAGGUACUGCCUGCUCAAAUUUUACUGAGAUUGCUCUGUUUUGGUUGGGCAGUCUGCAAUUACUAGAGACAGUAUUCACUAUGGUUCUACUUGCAAGCAGGGAGAGAUCACCUGAAUGAUAGUUGAUACCGCACCACCAAUUAGCCACUAUCAAAAGGCAAGGAUAUGGGAAUGCGUCUUCUUUGUUAUGUGCUUAGCAAGACUUAUUUCUUUUCUUUGUUUUUUUUUUUCCCCUAAUUUUGAUCUCAUACAGUUCUUGUUUGGUGUUUCUUAGGUCUUGGCUAUGAUCAGAAAUUUCCAUCUACACUAUGUAGCACACCCCACUUUUCAGGACGAGGAGGUCCAUUUAGGCUGUCAUUGUUCAUCUCAGGAGAGUCAGAUGUUUGUUUGAAAAGAAAAAUACCAAAGUUCAGGUGAAGGCCUAUACAUUUGAGAUUCCCAUGAAGAAUGCUGUAAUUCAAUUUGUUCAAUUUUGAGGGCUUUUGUAAUUCUGUUUGCCAUUGUGGUGUUGGUACCAUUUGAAGAGGGUGGUAGACCAUAACUCCCUCAUUCAAGUUUCCAAACUUUGUAUAGGAAAGAUGAUGUUGUGUUGACCUUACUCUCUUCUUCACUUCUUCAUGCAAUGAAAAUUUACUUCUCUUCUAUAUAUGCUCACAGUCUGCUCAAGUUUUUACUUGCAUUAACGAUACUAGCGCUACUCGGUCACCUUAAUAUUGAUCCCCACAUCAACCAUUAGGCCAUUUUCAAUAGGCAAGGAGAUAGGAAUAUAGCACCUUCUGUUGUUUAGGUCAAAAUAUAAUGUCUGCAGUAUGCUUGAUCAUGUUUAUAAAUUGACAUGAUAACCCAAAAGAGUAUUCGAUAUAUUUUUUAUGAUGUAGCCUAGUAUAUGUGUACCUAUCUAAGUAGUUCGAUGUAUAUAUUAAAUAUUCAAAGGAUUUAGAACGUAUGAAGCAAAUAAUUGAAAAAAUUAAGUUACAAGGAUAAUUAUUGGAAAGUGUCUCAAAUUCUUUUUCGAGUCAAUUUAUAAGUCAUUGAUGUUUUUGCAUUAGGACAUAUUCAUGGAAUAGACUUUCUUAUUAUUAUAAAGGUUGAAAUAUCCUAUUGUUAAAUUUUCUUUUAAGCUAUAUUUAUUUCUCGGAAAAUUUGAAGGAAAAUGCAUAGGAAAGAAAAUAGAGAUAAAAAGUAGAAAGAAAGAAAAAGUGAAGAAAAUUAAAAAUAUGAUUUAAAGUCAAUAAAUUAGUUUUUCAAAUUCAUUUAACUUAUUUUUCUCUAUUGUAUGAAGAUUAAAUAAUUAAAAAUGUAUAAAUUUCAAAUUAAAUUUAAUUAUGUUUUGCUUUCUUUCAUAUUUUCUAUGGUGAAAUUAAAAUGAGAAAAUCAUUUUUCUCAACAUGACCUAAUAGUUCCUCAUGGUCCAACUUACAUAAGAGAUAAAUUUUAAUAAAAAACUUUAUCACUUUCAACAAAGUAUUUGAAUACCAAAAUUUCUUAUAGAAAUGGUUAAAAUUAUGCAUUAAUCAACCAACAAUAGUCAUCUAAGAGAGGUGAAUAUAGUGUUAAUCUCUUUUUACACACUAUACAAAAAUGAAUACAAGAGAUAAUUUAAGCAAUAAUAUAAUAAAUAACAAUAAAAGAAACAAUUUAUUAAAAUAAAUAGAUAAGGGAAAAAAAGAAUUUAAACUUAAGAUUUUUAUAGUGGUUUGUUGUAAUCCUACUCAUAUCCACUCUCCUCAAUUUUUAAUCACGAUAAAUGUUCCAUUAAUCUAAGACUUUUUAAAGCUCAAGUCUUUAAACUCUUUAUACUUGGAUUAUGGUUCUAAGAUACCGUGUAAUAACAAAACUUUUAAAGACAAAUUCUCCAAACUUUUUCCUUUGAAUUAUGAUUCCAAAGUACCCUUUCAAGCGAUACCUUGCCCUUGAGUUGUCUAAGUGAUCCCACACUAGUUAAUCCUCAUAAGAUCUACAAUUGAAAGAAGAUUAAUCUUUGUGUACAAUUUUGAUUCAAAUAAAUACAAAGGAAACUAGGAUUGAAGUGCAUCAUAGUGGAUAAGUAAGAUUAUGAAUCAAGGUGCACUCCAAAACACUCAGCGACUGAUGGAUGAUAAUCAAUAUUAGGUUCAUGGAGAGUCAAUAUUAUGCUUUUACGAAGAUAUUACUAUCUAUAUUUUUAUAGUAUGUAUUAACAUAGCUGUAGACCCCCCAUUUGGGGCCAUUCGGGCAGCUGCUCAUUUUGCCACGUGGAAGAGCCUUGCUCCACCACGUGUCUUCUCUUGAGAGGCUGGUGCAGAAUCAGAUGAUGCUUUUAGGAUGCCAAUGGAAGGUUGAAGCAUAUUUUUUUUGUAUAAAAAGACUUAUAGUUUAUGGUUUUAUUAUAAUACUAGCAUUCAUAUUUUACUAAAAAUAAUUUAUUUUUUAAUUUAUUUGUGAUUCUAAAUACUAUUUAUAAAAAAUUCAAGUGUCAACAAAUUUUUACUAUUUCAAGUUUUUCAAUGUUUAAAAGUGAUAUUUAGAUACAUAAUAUAAAUCUAUAUUUUCCGUACAAGAGGUUGUAGCUUUUAUAUAGAAUUUAUUACUUGUUUCUAUUUUUAAAAGCAAAAAUUUUUCUUAAAGAAUAUUUUUAACCUAAGCACUAUUAAUAAAAAUGGUACGAACCGAAAUACUUUAAUUUGAAUUACUCUCAACUUCUUAAUUUAUGUAAAUUAUAAGGGAAAAAACCAAAGUACUAAAUAGAUACAUACCAUACUUCAAAUCUAAGAAGAUAACAAUAUAAUGUGUUGAAAAAGUACAUGUGCGUGUUGGAGUGCUUAUGCAUAAAAUUGUAAUUCUCAUGUUAAAAAAAAGAUUCAAACUUUAUGCACUUUAUAUUGUGUCCAUGGGGCCCAAGCCCCUAUAUCCAAAUGAAAAUUCGAGUUUUUUUAACUUCUAAAGCUACUUUGAGAAAAAAAAUUUAAAAGAUGGUAGUUACAAAACUAAUGACAAAUCGAUGACACUUUUUGUCGUAUCGAAUGUGUCUCUCCAAAAGACAUUUUCCAUAAUUUUCAUAUGAAUGACACUUGAUAAAAAAAAAAUUAAAUUUACAUUGAAGAUGUCUCUUCAAGAGAUAUUUUCCAUAAUUUUAUAAAAUUAAAUUUAUAUUUAAGAGACACUUUUUUACAAUUUUUUUAAAUUAGACAUAUACAUUAAAAAAAUUGAAUAUUUAUUAAAAGUGUAUUUUGAAGAGACAUCUUUCACAAUUUCAUAAAAUUGAAUUCAUAUUAAAAGUGUCUCUUUAAGAAACACUUUUUCACUUCUUUUUUUUUUUUUUUAUCAAUCAUACAUAUUAAAAAAAAUUUGAAUUUUUACUCUCAUAAUUCCACAAAAUCGAAUUUAUACUAAAAGUAUCUCUUCCAAAAUUUUCAUAUUAGUCACACAGUGAAGAAAAUGAAUUUAUACUAAAUGACUUUUUAGGUGACACAUUCCACAAUUCGACAAAACUAAAUUUAUAAUUAAGAUGUCUUUUGAAAAGACAUCUUCCAUGAUUUUCAUACCAGUCACACAAUAAAGAAAAUUAGAUUUAUACUAAAGGUGUUUGUUCAAGAGAUUAAAAACUAAGUUCGAAAAUUUUGGAUCUGCAAAGAAAAUUUUAGGAAUGGGGAUCUAAAGGGACCAAAGAAAUGGAACUUGGUUUCUAUGCCAACAAAGUUAUAAUCAAAAGGUUUUGGAGCGGUUAAUUGAUGUCAAAUAAGUUAUAAUCAAAAGGUUUUGGAGAGGUUAAUUAAGGUGAUCAAAUUGUGAAGGCUAGCUCUCUGUCCCUGGAAGACAGCAGCAAAGACAUAUACUUAGGCUAAUCUACUUCAUGGAACAUUUUAAUUACUCCACUUCUCUUUCAUGACCUUUCAUUCACUUGGACUAGUUCAUCUCUUGCAGCCAAUGCCUAUCUCCUUAUAUUUGUCAAAAUCAGCUUCUCUUGUCUAGCCGACAUUGUUGAAGAUAAGCAACUUGGACUAAUUCAUCUCUUGUAGCCAAUGCCUUUCUCCACUUGCAUGCACAUUAAAUUAGACAUGACUUAAUUACCAGGUCUGUUGAAGAUAAGCAACUUGCCUUCCCUUAACAAUUAUUAUAGGCCGACCUACCUUCAUCCACCACCCCCACUUUCCAUUUAUAUGCCUUUGCUUUCAUAUUCUUACCCCAUGAGAUUAAGAUUAAGAGCAUGUGGCCUGGUAAACAAUGGUGACGUACAGGGUCUACCACGAAAAUUUGGAAUUCAAAGUUCCUUUUUGGCCGAAUCCAGAAGGAAAGGGAAGGAGAAUUAUGCUAUAGGUGUCUAUUUGUUGAUAAUGGGUUAAAAGUCCUUAAUAACUUGUAUAAUUCAUAAGGAGGAUGUAAAAUAUGGAGAGAUCAAAAUACCCAUUAAAGUAGUCAUCUUGGUUAACAUAUAAAAUGGAAAGUGAUUGUAGGAAAAAUUUGUGGUCUGCUGUACCAAAAUUAGAUUUUUGGCCAUUGGAUUUACAUAUUUAAUCAUGACCAUUGAUUUGAAUUGGAAAACACUUGCUAAUGGUUUCUUAUUAUAGGAUCGAAUUUUAGAGGAUACAAAUUUAGUAAUAAUUAAGUAAUGGGAUUUUAUAUUAUCAAAAUAUAUAAUUUAUAAUAAAUAAAAAUAAUGUAUUAUCUAAUUUUAUCUUCUUUUUUAUUUUUAUAUCAAUAUUAUUUAAAAAUAUAUAAUAAUAAGGGAGAAUUGUGUUUUGAGGUGAAUUGAGGCUGAUAAUUGACCCAAGAUCCUUAUAUCACCCAUGUUUGAACUCAAAACCUAUUGGUGGAAUAGAAAUUAAGAAGGAUGUUACUUUUCAAAAAUACCCUUGAUUGUCAAAUUAAAAAAUUAACUUGCGACUCUCACCUCUCUCUCUUUCUCUCUCUUUAUUUAGCUCCCCUAUUUUUUUAAAAAUUUUAGAACUUUUUUAUUUCAUAGUUAACCAAUUUAUAAAAUAAAGAUUCUUGUUGUUAAAUAAUUUUAUUGCAAAAUUUAUCUUUUAAAAUUAAAUUUAAAUAAUUUUAUAGUGAAAUUUAUCUUUUUAAAUUAAAUUUUUUAUCCUUAUUUAUUUCAUGUAGUAAACAAAUAUUUUAAAUAAAAAAAUCUACUUCAAUUUAUUUAUGAGAAUUACAUUAAAUGAAAAUGCAUUUUUAAUUGAUGGAUAUUGAAAUUGACUUUUCUUAUAUUUUAUUUAUUUAAUAUAAUAAAUUUAGAAUUCAAAAUAAAACCAACUUCCUUCAUUCAUAAGAAAUAAUUUUUUAUUAAAUGGUUGAUAAAAAAUUAAAAACUAUUAUUAUAUAUUUUUAUAACCAUUCGUUUCUAUCAUCCUAUGCCUUGGAAAAUUAGUUAUUUGUAAAAAAAGAUAAAAUAAUAACUUCUUUUAUUAGAAAGAAAUUUUAUAAUUCAUUUUUAUAAUGGUAAAAAAGAUUUUCUUAAUUAUUUCUGAAUCCAACCAACGACUCUUUUGAGAUUGUCUAGAUUUUAAGAAUUUUGAUAAAUUCAACUAUUAGAAAAAAAAUUUCAAAAUUUUUAUACAAGUAUAUUUUUAAAAUUUAGGUAAAUAAAUUAUAAAUUAAAAAUAAAUAAAUUUAAUAAUUUAAAUUCUUUAAUGAUUUAAAAAAAAUUAAUAAUAGUUUUGAAUUCAAAAAAUUGAUAUAAUUAAUUGCUUAUUAAAUAAAAACAUUUUAGAAUAUUAUAUUAGUAAUUCGGUAGUAAUUGUAUAUAACAAAUGAAAAACUUUACUUAUUUACAUGCUAGAAAAGUUAAACUUUAUUCAUUAUUCAUUCUAAAUAAAAUAUUAUUAAAAAUUAUUAUUAUUUAUUUUUAAGCAAGAAAAUUAAGAAGAUGUUAAUAUUCUUAUAUUUCUAACAUAGACUAAAAUAAUAAUUUUUUUAUAAAAAAUAUAAUUUAUGAUUUUAUUAUAAUUUAUUUGUAAUUACAAAACUAUUUUCAUUUUAAGAUUUGAAUUAAAUUAAAUUUAAUCUAUAUUGUAUAAAUUGAAUUUGCAAUGUUUUUACGAACCCAAAACAAAAAAAAUUAUUUUUAAAAAUAACUUAUUCAAACAAGUUUUUCAUUUUUCAUUUUUAAAAACUUGUCAAGUGUCGUUAUUUUAUAAAACACUAGGGGUAUGUUUGACAACUAUUUUUAAGAAUAGUAUUCUGUUUUCCAAAAAAAAAUAAAAAUUAGGUAAAUAUAUUUUGACAACCAAAAAACUAUUUUUUGUUUUCAGAGAAUGUCUUUUAUUUGUUUUCACUUGUUUUAUAAAAUAUUUCAAAUGAUUAAAAUAAAGCACUAAAUAUAAUAAUUAUUUUUAAAACAUUUCAAGUUCCUAAAAAGACUUUUGUUCUACAAAACACCACAAAAUAGUUUGCAAAAACUGUUCUUAAAAAUUAUUUUUCAAAAUUAUUUUUAAAAAUUAUUAAAUAAGAUCUUAAAAACUGCUUUUUUUUUUCUUUAUCUUCAAAAUAAUUUUUAGAAACCAAUUUAAGAAAACAUUGUAAAAUAGAUAUAUGUUUCCCAAACAAAAAAGUUAAUGAAAUAAUUGAUAAAUGGGAAAUUUGAAAAUCUUUCAAGCAAUUUUUUUUCCCAUAGGAUCAAAGUAGAAACUCUCCCCUUAUCAAAACUUGGAUCAAACAAGUGGACGGAAAAUGAACCUUGAACUUUAUAAAAAAAUAAUUAUUUAAACUUGAGAAAUAAAUUAAAAGACCUUUAUAAAAUAAUUACACCAUAUACAAUAUACAUUUUUCUAGUUAUCUACCAAAUAAAUUAAACAUUCUUAAUUUAUUUUUAUUUUUUGGAAUAUUUAUGAAUUUUCCUUUUGUUUUUUUUUCUUUGAUAAAAUUUAAACUAUGUUUCUAGGAGAGAAAAAAAAAUGUUAAAGUUACCUAAAAUAUAAGUUGAGAGACUUGCAAAACACUUUCAUCGGAUUAAAAUAUCAUCUUAUUUGACCUCCAAAACGUACCUGUCCCAAGCCUUAAUCCAAUUCUUCAUUUUUUUUCUUUAUUUUUAAAAAAGGGGACAAACCAAUGAGGGUGAAUGAUAGGUUGCUCACCCAGUGCCCGACGACUCCUGCAUCAGCAAACAUCGUACUAGUCACCAUUGCCAGCCUGGCUCGUGCUACCCUAGACUUUCUUCGCUUUUCAAUGUUUUAGAAAUAAUUUUAAGUUAGAAGAUAAAUGGGAAGGAAAGGUACGAGGAAGAAAGGGGAAGAAAAGGAAGGGCUAAGUCGAUAAGGGUUUGGAGAAGUGGAUGGAUGGGUAAAAAAGGAGGGUAUUAUGGGUAAUAGACUUGUAAAUUUUAUUAAUUGCAACAUUUCCCUCGACUUAGCCAGUAGAGAACUUUUUAGGGCUUAGAGGGGUGCUACCUCUUAGAGGUACCUUCCCAAUAGGUAACUUGAUCCCUGGACCAAGACUUCUGUUUUCGAAGGCACGCUUUUCCAAAACUAUGAGGUCACUUCUUUAGGGUUUUCUUUCUUAUUUUAUUUUCCCUUUUAAAAUAAAAUAAAAUAAAUGGCGACUCCAAUUUUUCCAAAACUAAUUUUUCACCAAUAAAAAUGAGUCUCGUCAUUGAGUGGGGACGCACGUGAAAAAUGCGGAUCCACAACAGUAUGUUCACACAACCAGCGAGUAAAGAGAGACGAUGCAAGGGGUAGUCGUCCAAGCCCUUGCAUCUCCGGUAACUCCUAAAGCUGUCAUUAACUACAUACACGAAGGUCCAAUAGAUGACAAGCAAGCGACAAAGACGAAGGUUGUUCCGCAAGGCUUCUAUAAGAGAACGGAUUAACUCCGUCCAGUGCACCUUUGUAGAAGGAAGUGCACGUCCAGUUAACGACACAAUCAUCUUCCCUUCAGUAGAUGUUAAUCCGAUGUUGCAACCAUAUGAAGAUGCCUUGAUCCUAACACUGGGGGUAGGCGGAUUUGAUGUGAGGAGAAUCCUAGUUGACUUAGGUAGUUCAAUCGACCUCUUACAAAUGUCGACCUAUAAGCAAAUGAGCUACUCAUCAUCCGCCCUAGAGAACACAGGACGUUUGUUGUCUGAAUUCAAUGGAGCUACAACAACUUCACUUGGCGAUGUUUUGUUGCCCAUCCAAGUUGGGUCGAUCACAUUGAAAGUGCGAUUCUCAGUGGUCAAUGAUUUGUCUUCAUACAAUGCCAUUAUGGAACGUGCAUGACUUCACAAAAUGAAAGUCAUUCCUUCCACAUACCAUCAAAUGAUGAGCUACCUCACAAAAGAAGGACAAGUCGAUCUCCUUGGCAAUCGGCUAGUUGUGCGCCAAUGCUAUCAAGUGACAUUAGAAUCCGGACAUCCAACCAGCAAAGAGACGCAUUUGGAGUCAUCGAAUGUAAGAGAGUAAUAGCAAUUACUGAGCCUGGCAAAGAAAGAUUCAUAUACGACUGAUCCGCUCCAACCAUUGUGCUUCUCACAUGACGCAGAUCCAAUCAUCUACACUAAUUCCCUGCUUACGCAAGAUGAGCUGGAGCUGCUAAGGAAUAUGCUUCAGCGCAAUAAGGACAUCUUCUCCGAAACUCACUCGGAUAUGCUAGGAAUUCAUUAGUCAUGGCUUUCCAUAAGCUCAACGUCUCACCCACCUCACAGCCUAUCCGGAAAAAGGUUUGGCAUUUUCAUUUGGAUAAACAAAAAAAAUCAUUCAAAUGGAAAUUAACAAACUAUUGGAAGUUGGAUUCACAUGUUCUGGAUUGGUUGGUGAACGUGGUGGUAGUCUCGAAGAAAGAUGGGAGGUGACGAGUUUGUGUUAACUACACCAACCUGAAUGACGUCUGCCCAAAGGAUAGUUUUUCCUUGCCCCAAAUAGAUUGAUAGUCGAUGCCACUAUCAAGCAUGGGAUGCUCUCAUUUCUAGACUAUUUUUUCAGAUACCACCAGAUCUCUAUGUACUAGCCAAAUGAGGAGAAGACAACCUUUAUCACACCAUAAGGGUCGUACUAUUACAAAGUCAUGUCGUUAAACUUAAGAAAGUUGGUGCUACUUACCAGAGGCUAAUGACAAAGAUCUUCAAGCCCUUGAUCGGUUGAACUAUGGAAGUUUACAUUGACGACAUUAUUGUAAAGAGUGAAACCCAAGCUAAGCACGUCCAUCACUUGGAAGAAGCAUUUUAUCUAAUGCGGACAUAUAACAUGAAGCUCAAUCUAGCCAAGUGUGCCUUUGGCGUCAGUUCAGGGAAGUUUCUAGGGUUUAUGGUAACCCAAAGAGGAAUUGAAGUUAAUCCGGCUCAAGUGAAAUCCAUCCUCGAAAUGCCUGCUCCAAACAAUGAAAAGGAAUUGCAACGCCUCACAGGAAUUGAAGUUAAUUCGCUUCAUAGCUCAUUUCAUAGACAAACUAAGACCUUUCUUCCUCACACUUAAGAAGUCAAGCACAUUCGGUUGGACAAACGAGUGUAAGCAAUCAUUUGAAGCAGUCAAGUACUACCUCACUAAACCGCCUAUUCUGAGCAACUCCAAGUCUAGUGAAAAACUUUAUAUGUAUCUAGCUAUAUCUAAUUAUGCUAUCAAUGUCGUCCUACUUCGGCAUAUAGAAGACAAAGAAUAGAGAUCUGUCUAUUGUGUGAGCAAAGCAAUGGUAGAUGUUGAGACUUGGUAUUCCCAAGUAGAGUAGACUACUUUGACACAAAAAAAAUGCCGCUUGAAAGCUCCGCCCAUACUUCUAGGCUCAUCAAGUGACCAUACUUACAAACCAACCGCUCAGAAUUACCUUGCACAAGUUGGACCUAUCCAAACUAAUGUUGAAAUAGUCAAUCGAAUUCAGCGAGUAUGGAAUCAAGUAUCAGCCACGAAUUAUUCUUAAAAGGGCAGGUUUUGGUUGACUUUAUAGCUGAACUCUUCCCAAAACAAACACAUAUGACCGACCACCUUGAAGAGCAAUGGUGGACACUUCAUGUAGACGGAGCAUCCAGAGCGUUUAGAUCCGGAGUAGGUUUGGUCUUGUAGUCACUAAUUGGGAAACUAAUAGAGCAAGUUAUCCGUCUCAACUUAUCGACCUCUAACAACGAGACCGAAUAUGAAGUUGUGCUAGUUAUGCUAGACCUCGCUCUAAUAUUAUCCUCAACCAAGUUGGAAAUCAGGAGCGACUCUCAACUAAUUAUCGGAUAGGUUCAACGAGAGUACGAAGCAAAGGAUGAACGUAUGGCUUGAUACCUCGCCAUGAUGGAAGAAUGCCUGAAAAAGCUAGAUGAGUACAAUGAGAAGAGAAUGGAAAGGUAGACACACUAGUCGAAAUAACUGCCACUCUCCCUAUAAAUGAGAUAGUAAUGCUACCUAUCUACCUCAAAGUCGAGCUUUCAAUCACACCUGAGCCAGUGUGCAAUACUAGUUAAACAGACUCAAGUUGGAUUCUCGACAUCAUGAAAUACCUCCAAACAGGAAGUACCAGAAAAUGGGAAGCAAGCACAAAAACUUCAUAUACAAGCAGCACGCUUCACUUUAAUUAAUGAUCAACUCUAUAGACGAUCAUUUGGAGGUUCAUACCUAAAGUGUUUGAGUGAGCUAGAAGCCAAAUAUGUCCUGGCCAAACUCCAUAAGGGCAUAUGCGACAAUCACCCAAGCGGACGAACUUUGGCACACCGCACCUACACGCAAAGAUACUAUUGACCCACCAUGAAGCGAGACACUAAAAGUUAUGUUAAAAGAUGUGAUCGGUGUAAAAAACAUGCUCCUAUUCAUCGUCUACCUUUAGAAGCUCUUAACCCAGUAACAAGUUUUUAGCCAUUUGCAUAGUGGGGAAUGGACAUAGUCGGCCUGUUGCCCAUUAGAGUAACACAAAAGAAGUUUUUGCUCAUUGCAACCGACCACUUCAACAAGUGGGUAAAGGCAGAAGUCUAUGCCAACAUCAAAGACAAAGAUGUCUCCAAGUUCAUUUAGAAAAACAUCGUAUGUCGAUUCAGAAUUCUACGAGCAAUUGUUACAGAUAAUAGGCCACGGUUUGAUAGUGUCAUCUUUUGAAAAUUUUCUCGAAGUUAAAUAUCAAGAAUUUAUACUCAACACCCUACUAUCCACAAAUCAAAGGGCAAGCGAAUGCGACAAGUAAGAUCAUAUUGAAUGCACUGAAAAAAAGAUUGGAAUGAGCAAAAGAAAAAUGGGUGGAUGGGUUGCUCAGAACCUUAUGAGCCUACCAAACAACAUUUAGACGUCCAAUGAGAGCCACUCCUUUUGUCCUUGCUUAUGCGAUGGAAGCCAUCAUUCCAAUCGCAAUUGGCAUGUCUAUUGCCAAAACAACCAUGCAAAUUAAAGGGACAAUGAUGAAGAACUCAUAACACAACUGGAUUGGGUAGAUGAAAAGAGGAGAUGCAACUAUCUGGAUAACUUCUUACCAUCAAAGGAUAAUCACUCAAUACAACAAAAGGGCACGACCACAAUUUUUCUGGCCAAGAUCUUUAGUCCUUAGAAGAAUAUUUGAGAACACAACUAAAGUAGGAGCCAAAAAGUUACUAGCUAAUUGGGAAUAGUUUUAUGUUGUAAUUAAGGCAAGAGACUCAGGGGUGUACCAUCUCCAGACACUAGAUGGUGUACCCAUGCUCCGCCCAUAAAAUGUCACCAACUUGAAGCAACAUUAUCAACAAAAGUUUCUUAUCAAAAUAAUAUAGCAAGAACAAACGGGUAAAACAAACACUUAAAAAAAAUGUAAUGGCAUUGAGGAAAAAAACUUAAAAGAGCAGUCAUUGUAUUUACACGUCUAAAAGUCAAAGCCACAGCCAACUAAAGAAAAGAAAUUAAAAAAAGAUCAAGUCCUCUUGCUAGGGGAAUCGUCCCUAAUAGAAGGUCCAACUCCUUGGGUAGAGCAACCUAAAAACUCGUCCUCAUCAUCAAAAGGAAAGUUGGGAGUAUCAUGGGCAAUGCCAUGCUUCUUCAUACAACAUCGAUAACCAUAGAAGAACAUGUCAUCCACCUAAUUUUGGUAGUCUGCCUCUAAGUCUUCAUUUUGAGAGGCAAACCUUGCCAGAAGAUUUUACAACUCCCGCCUUAACCGGACAGUUUUUUCUUCAGUUUUCUCCUUUUCGGUUGUCAUAAUCGUCUUCUCCUCAACUAGUUGGAAAACCUCAGCUUAAGGCACCUUCUUCUCCUCCUCGCCCUUCUUCAGUAGACAAGAACCUUCCUCAACCAGUUUCUAGGCAGCAGCAGCCUUGCUUUUCGUUGUCUCCAAGCUGGCAAGAAGAUCCUCACUUCCAUCCAUGUUAUGGGCAAUGUAUCUUCUCAUGGUUUUGACUACUUUUAGUCACUGGAGAAUGUGCGCUUGUUGUCACAAGAGGUUAUGAACUCCGGGUACCACCUGGGGAUAAUAGAGAUUAUUAUGAGACGAGAGACUAAAGGAAAAACGAGAAAAGUCACAAGCAAAACCACUUUUGCUAUCUCAAAAGUUGUGUAGUCCUUCAUAUGAAGGAUGCAAUCAAUGGAUGCAUAUGGAGUACCGGACGAAAGCCAUGCCAUGAAAGAUUAGAUAGAAUUCUCAUCCACCUUGACCAGGAUUCGUUGCAUAGCUGGGAAGAGAACCCCCAUGUUCGAUACUAGAAGCUCACUUUCGGUGAAAGAAGAGAUACAACUUAGAAGCUUGGAUAUCUCCUCCCGAUUGGGGACAUAGGUUGUCUUUGGACAGAGAGGAGAAGUAUUCAGACACUCGAAUGAGUCCUCACUGAUUUCUCCUAGGAUGAUAAAAGGUUUCCUUAUUUUGUGAUAAGAAAUGUCAUCAACAAAGGAAGGUUUCUCAUCCAUUUCCGAAAUGACAGCUACAAUAGUAGUCCAUGGUGCUGACUUGGAUGGAGGAUUGGGGGCAGGUUUCGGGUAGGCUUUCUUUGAAGGAGAGAGAUUGAUAGCAAUGGAUUUGGAUAGGUGCUUAUGUUGCCUCUCGUGGAAUUCAACCCUCAAGUUGGAGGCCAUCUCCUCCUCCUGUUUCUCCUCUUCACAAAUAAUAAGGGGCACUAGUCGCUAACCCCUGUUUUUGCUUCGUCAUUGGAAGACGAAGAUGACAGAGAUGGUGAAGAGGAUGAAGCUGACGAUGACGACGGCAAGACAGAAGAUGGAGUUCUCGCCUUUUAGACGGGAUGAGCAGUAGGCCUCUUCUUCUUUUGAGUAGGAGGAUGGAUAGCGGUACUGGAAGAUGGACGACCAAUAGCUGGAGUUUGCCUCAAUGUCCCAUUUUGGCAUUUUUUUUUUCUCCCAUUCCUCUAGACGAGCCUAGUAUGCCUCAAAAUUCGCAUAGAAAUACAAAUCCUUCAACACGAAGCGUUCGUCGGGUACCAAAUACGCAGGAGCUAGUUGAGUAAACACAAGGAUGAUAAACGACUUAGGAUUUUUGAUCAACGCUAGUAGGUUCUUGUCCGAUAAGAAAGCGCUGUGAGCCCGUUCAACAACGUCUAUUUUGAACAACUUGUUAAGUCGGGCGAAUGAAGCCUUUUCCACCCACUUUACAAGGCGUUCCCAUAUUUUCUUACUUGUAUUAAACGAACAUAAAGAUUGUGAAUAGAUUCACAACAAUGAGGAAAUAACAAUAAGAUAUAAAGAAAGUGAUAGAAGCAUGGCCUACUUGGAAUCUCCAAUGAACACUAUGGAGAAAAAACUCCAUUUGGACCCUUAGAUGAACCACUCCAAGGUCCGGAUGCCAAAACAUGCCCCUUGGCCCAGCCUUUGCAUGAAUCUAGAAGACCAAUCACCAAUUGGAGGGAAGGAGGGCAGAUAAGUUAAACCUUUCCUUUUGGCUCAUUUUGACAGUAUAGAUGAAUAAGACUUCCAAUAGGGAAAUAUCCAACUGGAAAAACAUGUCCAAUACACUACACCCUAUCAAUAUCUGAAUAAUAUUUAAAUGAAGAAAAGUUUGAGCGAUUUGUGUGAAAUGGAUAAAUUUUUUGAAGAUGGAAGGAAUGGAAAGACAUAACCUAGCAGCGAAUUGAUCCGUGGUAAAAUACAUCAUGUUAUUCGGAAGGUUAAUAAAUGAUAAAGCCUCGUUGUCUGUUAGCUGAAUUUAGAAUAGUAUCAGGAAUAUGAAAACGAGCUCGGAAUUCUCGCUCAGACAGGACACCAAUUAGACGUUCCAGUCAGAGACGCCCGACUCUAGUAUUUUUUUCGUCCACCCUACUGAGGCUUUCCGUUGGUAGAAGUAAUUCCUCUUCUCUCUAUUAAACUAAGUGGACCUGGGCCAUGUGGAAACCUGCACGAAUUAACGCAGUUAUCAAAACCAACCACCUGACCCAUCUGUCUUUCGGUGUUGCCUCAGUAAUAUAUAAAUAAACCUAGAUGGACUAAUAGUCUGAGUCUAGAUGGACUUGGCUGUGGAAACUUGUAGAGCAAGUUUCUUCGCUAAUGGCAAAGGAAAAUUCGCGCACAUCGCACCAUCCCGAUGAUAACGAAAAUAGUAAGUUGAUGACAUGGGCAUAGUGACAACACCAAAGCAAGAGAGGAGACUAAAAAGCGCUAAAUCUGGACAUCAACAUGUCCAUAUCUUCCCCAAACAAACCAUAAAAGCGAGUAGAGAAACUGAGAAACCCUAAAUCUGGACAACGAUAUGUUCAUUUUCUUUCUAGACUAGCAAAAUCAAAACAAUUCAAGGAACAAUCACAAGCGCAACAAAGGAAUGAACAUGUAGUAGAAAAGUUACCAAAAUCAAGACUGAAAACUCUUUUUAGUGGAGAAGAGAUCCUCCAACAACAAACCAGCCGACAGUGACAAUGAAAGCAAAGGAGAGCAAUAUAAACACAAUGGUGGCGAAAGAGCAAGGUAGGCAAAAGGACUUUAAGGAGGAAAAUGCCAAAAGGUGAGCCAAAUGUGUGGAACCUUAAUAUUUAUAGGGAUAAAAAACCUAGGCAACCUAAAAAACAUGCGGCCUGGCAACACUUGCUAAAGCCCACGAGGGACACGUCGCUUGACAGCCUCCCUCGGUCGAUGUUGACCCCUCAUUGAAGGCCCAAAUAACAUGCAAUCCUUGGCGCUUAAAAACUUGAAAAAACAAAUAACCCAUUCUAUCUCAACUCGUCAGCUACUUUGUUAAACAUGGGGAAACGGAUUAAGGGGCAUUGUGGGAGGCUUCCUUCCGCAUGCGCUCCCCAAACUCAAGACCGUUUGGUCGUCCAAGGUAAACAUAUAAUCCGUCCAAGAUUGAUCCAUUUGGACCAAGAUAAGUUUCGUAUGGCACAAAGGGCAAGAUAUUUCCUUCUUCUUCAAUGCCAGAUAUAAUGGACAAACCCAUCGAGCUUAAGUCUCUAGACAUUGAAUGAAUGGUUAAUCACACUUGAUGCCUGAGCGAUGGACUAGACGACAUUUACAUUCAAAAACCAGUGUCAAUUAGUCAUUACACGCAAUUAGCGACAUUGACAAGCGCAAAUGCACAAUCAACUAUAUGGUCCGAGAUUUUUGCACGAUAACCAACAAAUGACACCAGUUGAUAGCUCUUGCUUGGUAUGAUUGCCCAAUCCACGCUAAGGUAAAGGUGUUGACUGCCUUAUUAGUAAUCCGCCCUGAUGGCAAUCAUCAUCGUAAGAAAGACAUGAAUGCACAAUCAGCAUUGUGAUGAUGGUGUCAUCUACUCUAUAAAAACCCCUCUAAAAGCAUGAAAAAAAGUAUGCGCGUACAUAGUCAUUCAAAAUAGUUGGAUUCAUCCUUGUUAAUUCCUAACUUAAGCUUCAGAGGGGCAUGCUUGGACCACCUGUCCGAACAUCCUUUCAUUGUAGGGAAGAGGUUUGUCUGAAUCCAAUGAAGUUAGACAGAUCUGUAUCUAAUUAACACAACACCAACAAAUAUUAUUCAUUUAUUUUUAAAAAAAAAAAAAAAAACAGGUGGAUGGUUAGAGAAUUUAGGUGGUAGCAAUUAAAACUUCUUGUUUCUUGUUUCUCUCUUUAUCUUUUGUUUGUUGUGGUAAUGUUAAUAAUAUAUGUCAGCAACUAGGGCCCACCAUCAGAGAUUUUUUUUUAAAAUAUUUUAAUUAAAUUUUAGACUAAGAAAUUAUAUACACAACCCUUGGAAAAAUAAUUGCUCAUAUGAUAAAGUUUUUAUUUUAAUUUAUUUAAUUAUAAAAAAUUUAAAUUUUUAUAAAAAUAUUUUUCCCACUAAACAAAGUUGAUGAAUUCUGUAUUAAAAUGAGUCUGAUCAGAUUACAAGUCAAUUUUCAUUGAGUAUUCAAGGUGCCAAUUUCAAACUAUUUCUUCAACUCGUUUUUCCUUCAUCUUUUAUUUUGUGGGUGGGCGGUUUGGAAACGAAGUCAGCACCUGGGGUCUACCAUCUUCUCCAAUCCAAUAACUCAUUCAAGCAUUGGAAUCCAAAGUUGCUUAAUUUUGACCAAACCAGAUUUGAACCAGCUUCACUACCAACAAGUUAUUGGAUUUUCUCAAUACAAAUCAAUCUUUUCCAGAUGGGUGGUUUGAUUGUGGAUCAACUUUCUACCAACUCUCUUGACCCCUUUAAUCUUAACCAAUGCUUUUUUGAUGGAGAGAAAAACCGGCAUCUCUAUUCUAGGUAGAGGAAGGACUAGUUUUAAAUAUACCUAUUAUCUUACUUUCCAUCAAAGUGGACAAUUAGUUAUCAAAAUUUUCUCAUAAAAAUUUAUUAAAUCAUAAUUGAUAUUUAAAACUUAAAUGGCAUGUCAGUCCUUUCAUAAAAAAAUUAAUGUUAACACCCAACAAGUCCUUUUUUUUUUUAUUACACAUAUAACACUUUACCAAAGAUACUAUUAAACAAUUUUAAAAAAAAUAAAAAAUCUCACACUAAGGGUCUAUUUGGCCAUUACAUUUAAAACGGUUUUCUAUUUUUAAAAGUUUUAAAAUUCAUAUCAUUGUUAGGUCAUUAUUCUAUUGAACGGUUUUUAAAAACAAAGUGAAAUAGAAUUCUUUUUAGAGAAUAAAUAAAAAUUGUUUUUAUUAGUUUUUAAAAAUAAAAGGAAAAUACAAAGAAAUAAAAAAUAAAAAAAUAAAGUCAUAAAAAGAAAAUAAGGUAAAAUACAAAAUAUUUUUUCUUUCAUUCAAUCUUCAAAUAUGAUUUGUUUUUAAUUUUUAUUUCAUUUUUCUUAAAUUCUUUUAAAUUUUCAUCAGGCAAAUAGAUUUUAAAUUAAAUAAUAUUUUAUACAUAAAAUUCAUUAAUUUUUAAAAAUAAUUUGAAACUUGAAAACUUAUAUAAUUGCUACUAGAAAAUCAUGGAACUCAAAAUCCAUCUAAUCAAUACUAGAACUUCACAAACUAAACUUCAUUUUGAAUGACUUUGUUAGUAUAUUCUUCACAUAUAAUCAUAUUUUUGUUCUAGUUUUUACCAGACAAAUAAACUUUAAAUUAAACAAGAUUUAAUGCAUUAGAUUCAUUAAUGAGUCUCAUAUUUUUUAAAAAUAUUUAAAACUCCAAUAGUGAUCUAAUUAAUACAAAAAAUUUAUGAAUUAAAUUGAUCUAAAAUAACUCCAUUCUCUUUUACAUAGAAUUGUAUUUUUUCGAUUUUUUUCAUUAGACAAAUAUACUUCAAAUCUUGUUUAAUACAUCAGAUUUAUUAAAAAAAAAAUGUAGUAUUUUUAAAAAUAAUUUAAAACUCAAAUAUUAAUUCAAUUAACAUAAGAAAGUUAUGGAUACAAAUUAUUCAAAUUGACUAUUGUUUCUUUUCUACAUAGAAUCAUAUUUUCCAAUUUCUUUUCUUGAUCAAUAGAAUACUCUAAAUCAAACAAGUUAAUGUGUCACAUUUAUUAGCAAGUCUAGUAAGUUUUAAAAAUAAUUCAAGACUCAAAUAGUACUCCAAUUAAUAUAAAAAAUUUAUGGACAAAAAUUGGUCUAAAAUAAAUAUAUUGUUUUUUUUUUUUGCACAUAAUUAUUAUUUUUUUAUAAUUUUUCUUACUAGAGAAAUGAACUUCAAAUCAAACAAGACCUUGCAUUGAAUUUAUCAAUGAGUUUAAUAAUUUUUAAAAAUAAUUUGAAAUUCAAAAUAUAUAUCUAAUGACUAUAAAAUAAUAAUAGACCAAAACUAAUGCAUUAUGAGUCAUAACUUAACUAUUUUCCUAUAAAAAUGACUAUAUUUUUAGAAUUUUUCGCUAAGUAAAUGAAUUCUAAAUUAAGUGAGACAUAACUAGUACUUUAAAUUAUUUAAUAAAUCUUCUAAUUUUUAAGAAUAAUUUGGAAUUCAAAAAAGUAAUCUAAUUAAUUACAUACAAAAUCAAAAGUAUGCAUACUUUGUCUAUAAUAAAUAUGCUUUUAUGAAGAUAUUAAGAUUUAUAUUUUUAUAGCAUGUAUUAGCAUAGCAUAUUUUUUGUAUGAACAGUGAAGGGUAGCCUUAAGGGGCACUGAAGACGGUUUUGAAAUUGAUAAGCUUUGAUCUAAUUAAGGUGAUCAAAUUGUGAAGGCUAGCUCUCUGUCCCUGGAAGACAGCAACAAAGACAUAUACUUAGGCUAAUCUACUUCAUGGAACAUUUUAAUUACCUUUCAUUGGCUUGGACUAGUUCAUCUCUUGCAGCCAAUGCCUAUCUCCUUAUAUUUGCCAAAAUCAGCUUCUCUCGUCUAGCCGGCAUUGUUAAAGAUAAGCAACUUGGACUAAUUCAUCUCUUGCAGUUGCAGCCAAUGCUUUUCUCCACUUGCAUGCACAUUAAAUUAGAGACGACUUAAUUCCCAGGUCUGUUGAAGAUAAGCAACUUGCCUUCCCUUAACAAUUAUUAUAGGCCGACCUACCUUCAUCCACCACCCCCACUUUCCAUUUAUUUGCCUUUACUUUCAUAUUCUUACCCCAUAAGAUUAAGAUUAAGAGCAUGUGGCCUGGUAAACAAUGGUGACGUACAGGGUCUACCAUGAAAAUUUGGAAUUCAAAGUUCCUUUUUGCUGCAUCCAGAAGGAAAGGGAGGGAGAAUUAUGCUUUAGGAGUCUAUUUGUUGAUAAUGGGUUAAAAGUCCUUAAUAACUUGUAUAAUUGAUAAGAAGGAUGUAAAAUAUGGAGAGACCAAAAUACCCAUUAAAGUAAUCAUCUUGGUUAACAUUUUAUAUUGUAGGAAAAAUUUGUGGUCUGCUGUACCAAAAUUAGAUUUUUGACCAUUGGAUUUACAUAUUUAAUCAUGACCAUUGAUUUGAAUUGGAAAACAUUUGCUACCGGUUUCUUAUUGGAGGAUCCAAUUUUAGAGGAUACAAAUUUAGUAAUAAUUAAGUAAUUGCAUUUUAGAUUAUUAAAAUAUAUAACUUAUAAUAAAUAAAAAUAAUGUAUUAUCUAAUUUUAUCUUCCUUUUUAUUUUUAUAUCAAUAUUAUUUAAAAUAUAUAAUAAUAAGGGAGAAUUGUGUUUUGAGGUAAGUUGAGACUGAUAAUUAACCAAGAUCCUCACAUCACCCGUAUAUGAACUCAAAACCUAAUGAUGGAAUAGAAAUUGAGGAGAAGGAUGUCGUUACUUUCCAAAAAUCCUCAAAAUACCCUUGACUGUCAAAUUAAAAAAAUUAACGUGCUACUCUCACCUCUCUCUCAUUCUCUCUCUCUCUUUCUCUCUCUUUAUUUAGCUCCCCUAUUUUUUAAAAAAUUUAGAACUUUUUUAUUUCAUAUUUAACCAAUUUAUAAAAUAAAGAUUCUUGUUGUUAAAUAAUUUUAUUGCAAAAUUUAUCUUUUAAACAAAUAUUUUAAAUAAAAAAAGUCUACUUCAAUUUAUUUAUGAGAAUUACAUUAAAUCAAAAUGCAUUUUUAAUUGAUGGAUAUUGAAAUUCAUUUUUCUUAAAUUUUAUUUUUUAAAUAUAAUAAAUUUAGAAUUCAAAAUAAAACCAACUUCCUUAAUUCAUAAGAAAUAAUUUUUUAUUAAAUGGUUGAUAAAAGAUUAAAAACUAUUAUUAUAUAUUUUUAUAACCAUUGGUUUCGAUCAUCCUUUGCCUUGGAAAAUUAGUUAUUUGUACAAAAAGAUAAAAUAAUAACUUAUUUUAUUAGAAAGAAAUUUUAUAAUUCAUUUUUAUAACGGUAAAAAAGAUUUUCUUAAUUAUUUCUGAAUCCAACCAACGAACUCUUUUGAGAUUCUCUAGAUUUUAAGAAUUUUGAUACAUUCAACUAUUAGAAAAAGAAUUUCAAAAUUUUUAUAAAAAUAUAUUUUUUAAAUUUAGGUAAAUAAAUUAUAAAUUAAGAAAGAUAUAAUCAAUAAUUUAAAUUCUUUAAUGAUUUAAAAAGAUAUUAAUAAUAGUUUUGAAUUCAAAAAAUUGAUAUAAUUAAUUUUUAUUAAAUCAAAAUAUUUUAGAAUAUUAUAUUAGUAAUUCGUUACUAAAUGCAUAUUGCAAAUGAAAAACUUUACUUAUUUACAUGUUAAAAAAGUUGAACUUUAUUCAUUAUUCAUUCUAAAUAAAAUAUUAUUAAAAAUUAUUAUUAUUUAUUUUUGAGCAAGACAAUUAAGAAGAUGUUAAUAUUCUUAUAUUUCUAACAUAGACUAAAAUAAUAAUUUUUUUUAUAAACAAUAUAAUUUAUGAUUUUAUUAUAAUUUAUUUGUAAUUAUAAAACUAUUUUCAUUUUAAAAUUUGAAUUAAAUUAAAUUUAAUCUAUAUUAUAUAAAUUGAAAUUGCAAUGUUUUUACAAAACCAAAACAAAAAACAUAUUUUUAAAAAUAACUUAUUCAAACAAGUUUUUCAUUUUUCAUUUUUAAAAACUUGUCAAGCAUAGUUGUUUUAUAAAACAUUAGGGGUUUGAUUGACAACUAUUUUUAAGAAUAGUAUUCUGUUUUCCAAAACAAACCAAAAAAAUCAAAAAUAUAUAUUUUGACUACCAAAAAACUAUUUUUUGUUUUUAGAGAAUGUCUUUUAGCUGUUUUCACUUGUUUUAUAAAAUAUGUCGCAUGAUUAAAAAUAAAUCACUAAAUAUAAAAAUGAUUUUUAAAACACAUUUAAAACAUGUCAAGUUCCUAAAAAGACUUUUGUUCUACAAAAUCUUAUAGAACAUUUUGCAAAAACUGUUCUUAAAAAUUAUUUUUCAUAACUAUUUUAAAAAAUUACUAAAUAUGAUCUAAAAAACAAUGUUUUUUUUCUUUAUCUUCAAAAUAAUUUUUAGAAACCAAUUUAAGACAACAUGGUAAAACAAAUAUAUGUUUCCCAAACAAAAAAGUUGAUGAAGUAAUUGAUAAAUGGGAAAUUUGAAAAUCUUUCAAGCAAUUUUUCUUUUUCCAUAGGAUCAAAGUAAAAACUCUUCCCUUAUCAGAACUUGGAUCACACAAGUUGAUGGAAAAUGAACCUUGAACUUUAUAAAAAAAUAAUUAUUUAAACUUGAGAAAGAAAUUAAAAGACCUUUAUAAAAUAAUUACACCAUAUACAAUAUACAUUUUUCUAGUUGUCUGUCAAAUAAAAUUAACAUUCUUAAUUUAUUUUUAUUUUUUGAAAUAUUUAUGAAUUUUCCUUUUGUUUUUUUUUCUUUGAUAAAAUUUAAACUAUGUUCCUAGGAGAGAAAAAAAUUGUUAAAGUUACAUAAAAUAUAAGUUGAGACACUUGUAAAACACUUUCAUCGGAUUAAAAUAUCAUCUUCUUUGACCUCCAAAACGUACCUGUCUCAAGCCUUAAUCCAAUUCUUCUUUUUUUUUUCUUUUUUUUUUUAAAUGGGACAAACCAAUGAGGGUGAAUGAUAGGUUGCUCACCCAAUGCCCGACGACUCCUGCAUCAAUAGGCGUCGUAACAAUCACCAUUGCCAGCCUAGUCCUGGCAAUGGUGACAAGGGUUUGGAGAAGUGGAUGGAUGGGUAGAAAAGGAAGGUAUUAUGGGUAUUAGACUUAUAAAUUUUAUUUAUUUAUUUAAAAAAAAAAAACAGGUGGAUGAUUACAGAAUUUGUGUGGUCGCAAUUAAAACUAGGACCCACCAUCAUUUCAUUCUCCAUACCUUGGAGAAGGGUGCUGCCCUUAAUCUUUCAAUUAAAUUUUAGACUGAGAAAUUAUAUACAGAAUCUUGGAAAAUAAUUGCUCAUAUGAAAAAAAAAUUAUUUUAACUAAUUAGUUUAAUAAUAAAAAAAAUAUUUAAAGUUUUAUAAAAUUAUUUUUCCUACUAAACAAAGUUGAUGAAUGUAUAGAAAUGAGUCUGAUGUUUAUAAUCAAUUUUCAUAGAUUAUUCAAGGGGCCAAUUGCCAACUAAUUCUUCUAAAUGUAAGUAAAUUAUAUGUUUAUUUUCUACCCGUUUUUUCUCCUUCUAUUACUUUGUGGGUGGGUGGGUGGUCACUGGUUUGUAAACAAAGUCAGCACCUGGGCUCAACCAUCUUCUCUAAUAAUUCAUUCUAGCGUUGGAAUCCAGACUUGCUUUUGGCCAAACCAGAACUGAGCCAGCUUCGCUACCAAGAAAUUAUUGCAUUUUCUCAAUACAAACCAAUCUUUUCCACUUUGGUGGUUUGAUUUUGGAUCGCUUACCUUCAUUUUUCCUUGAUUCAUCACUCACUUUUCUCUACAAACCAACAGACAUGGCUGGGGCUUUAGUUGGGGGAGCUUUCCUCUCCGCUUCUCUUCAAGUUCUAUUUGACAGGUUGGCUUCUCGCGAGGUUGUGAGCUUCAUCCGGGGGAAGAAGCUCAGUGAUGCGCUCCUGAAGAAGUUGGAAAGGAAGUUGCUGGUCGUCCAUGCAGUGCUCAACGAUGCUGAGGUCAAACAAUUUACAGAUCCAUAUGUGAAGAAGUGGCUGGUCUUGCUUAAAGAGGCUGUGUAUGAUGCGGAGGACAUAUUGGAUGAGAUCGCCACAGAGGCUUUGAGACAUAAGAUGGAAGCUGCGGAGUCCCAAACCAGCACAAGUCAGGUGGGUAACAUCAUGGACAUGUCUACCUGGGUUCAUGCCCCAUUUGACAGUCAGAGCAUAGAAAAGAGGGUGGAGGAGAUCAUUGAUAGACUUGAAGAUAUGGCACGAGACAGAGCCGUCCUUGGGUUGAAAGAAGGUGUUGGCGAGAAACUGUCACAAAGGUGGCCUUCUACUUCUUUGGUGGAUGAAUCUCUUGUCUAUGGCAGGGAUGAUGAAAAACAGAAGAUGAUUGAACAGGUGUUGUCUGAUAAUGCAAGGAGGGAUGAGAUAGGUGUGAUUUCCAUAGUGGGCAUGGGCGGCCUUGGCAAGACCACACUUGCUCAGCUUCUAUAUAAUGACCCAAGGGUGAUGGAACACUUCGAUUUGAAGGCAUGGGUUUGUGUUUCCGAAGAAUUUGAUCCUAUUAGAGUUACAAAAACAAUUCUGGAGGAGAUUACUUCAUCCACUUUCGAGACAAAUAACCUAAAUCAGCUUCAAGUUAAACUGAAAGAGAGAAUUAAUACGAAGAAAUUUCUACUUGUCUUGGAUGAUGUUUGGAACGAGGACUCUAGUAACUGGGCUAUGCUACAAACUCCACUCAAAGGCGGGGCAAAGGGAAGCAAGAUUGUUGUAACGACCCGCAGCACCAAUGUUGCAGCUGUUAUGCGCGCUGUUUAUUCUCAUUGUCUUGGUGAACUAUCCUCUGAAGAUUCCUGGUCUCUGUUUAGAAAACUCGCAUUUGAAAAUGGAGACUCGAGUGCGUAUCCACAACUAGAAGCAAUUGGUAAGAAGAUUGUGGACAAGUGCCAAGGUUUGCCACUAGCUGUAAAAGCAGUGGGGGGCCUUUUACAUUCUGAGGUUGAAGCGAGGAAAUGGGAUGAUAUACUAAACAGCCAAAUAUGGGAUUUGUCCACUGAUACAGUUCUUCCUGCAUUGAGAUUGAGUUACAAUUAUCUGCCUUCACAUCUAAAGCAAUGUUUUGCUUAUUGCUCAAUUUUUCCCAAGGACUACGAAUUGGAGAAAGAGAAGCUAAUUUUGUUAUGGAUGGCUGAAGGUCUUUUACAAGAAUCAAAAGGCAAGAGAAGAAUGGAAGAGGUAGGUGACUUGUACUUUCACGAGCUUUUAUCGAAGUCGUUUUUUCAAAAUUCAGUUUGGAAAAAGAAGACACACUUUGUAAUGCAUGACCUAAUUCAUGACUUGGCUCAACUGGUGUCUGGAGAAUUUUCUGUUAGUUUGGAGGAUGGUCGGGUAUGCCAAAUCUCAGAAAAGACUCGUCAUUUAUCAUAUUUUCCGAGAGAAUAUAAUAGCUUUGAUAGAUAUGGAACACUUUCUGAAUUUAAGUGUUUGCGAACAUUUUUACCAUUGAGGGUUUACAUGUUUGGCUACUUAAGUAAUAGAGUUUUACACAAUCUAUUAUCGGAAAUUAGGUGCUUGCGGGUGUUGUGUUUGCGUGGCUAUGGUAUUGUUAAUUUGCCCCAUUCAAUUGGCAAGUUACAACAUUUGCGCUACUUGGAUCUCUCUUAUGCUUUGAUUGAAAAAUUACCUACAUCAAUAUGUACUUUGUACAAUUUACAAACAUUGAUAUUGUCAAUGUGUUCGAAUCUAUAUGAAUUGCCUUCAAGAAUCGAAAAUUUGAUUAAUUUGUGUUAUCUUGACAUUCAUCGUACCCCACUAAGAGAGAUGCCAAGUCAUAUUGGCCAUUUAAAAUGUUUGCAAAACUUGAGUGAUUUCAUUGUGGGGCAAAAGAGCAGGUCGGGGAUUGGAGAAUUGAAGGAACUUUCAGAUAUAAAGGGAACACUUAGAAUUUCAAAGUUGCAGAAUGUGAAAUGUGGCAGGGAUGCAAGAGAAGCCAAUUUGAAGGACAAGAUGUACAUGGAGGAGUUAGUGUUGGAUUGGGAUUGGAGAGCAGAUGAUAUUAUACAAGAUGGAGACAUAAUUGAUAAUCUUCGGCCACAUACAAACCUAAAGAGACUCUCUAUUAAUCGUUUUGGUGGUUCGAGAUUUCCAACAUGGGUAGCAAAUCCUUUUUUCUCUAAUCUCCAGACCCUAGAGCUUUGGAAAUGUAAAAAUUGCUUAUCAUUGCCACCACUUGGGCAGCUACCCUCUCUUGAACACUUACGGAUCUCAGGAAUGAAUGGAAUAGAGAGGGUGGGUAGUGAGUUUUAUCAUUAUGGGAAUGCUUCUUCCUCCAUCGUAGUUAAGCCUUCCUUCCCAUCCUUACAAACUCUAAUAUUUGAGUGCAUGCAUAAUUGGGAGAAAUGGUUGUAUUGUGGAUGCAGACGUGGAGAAUUCCCUCGUCUCCAGGAGCUUUAUAUAAUCAACUGUCCAAAACUCACUGGGAAAUUACCAAAACAGCUUCGAUCCUUGAAGAAACUUGAAAUUGUUGGAUGUCCGCAGCUGCUUGUGCCUUCACUCAGAGUCCCUGCAAUCAGUGAAUUGACGAUGGUCGAUUGUGGUAAAUUACAGUUGAAAAGGCCAGCUAGUGGCUUCACUGCUCUUCAAUUCUCACGCGUUAAAAUUUCAAACAUCUCUCAGUGGAAGCAACUACCAGUGGGAGUGCAUAGGCUCUCAAUUACAGAAUGUGAUUCUGUGAAGACUCUAAUAGAAGAGGAACCGCUCCAGAGCAAAACUUGUCUUCUCAAAUAUUUGGAAAUCACAUAUUGUUGUUUGUCUAGAUCCUUGCGCAGAGUUGGUUUACCCACUAAUGCAUUGGAAUCACUAAAAAUCUCUCACUGUUCCAAGCUAGAGUUUCUCCUAUCUGUGUUGUUGAGAUGCCACCACCCUUUCCUAAAAAAUAUACACAUCAGAGAUAACACCUGUGAUUCUCUUUCAUUAUCCUUCUCCUUAAGCAUCUUCCCAAGAUUGCGUUGUUUUGAAAUCAGUAAGCUUCAGGGGCUUGAAUUCCUCUAUAUCUCCAUUUCAGAGGGGGAUCCCACAUCUCUUAAUUAUUUGAAUAUCUAUGAGUGCCCUGAUCUUGUAUAUAUUGAAUUGCCGGCUCUCGACUCAGCAAGGUAUGAGAUCUCCAGAUGCUUGAAGCUCAAGUUAUUGAAGCACACCCU
rnacentral:lncRNA from 1 species